AACGAAGUUUAGGUUUGAAGUAGAGAAAUAGGAAUGUUUUACCAUUUCUAAAAUUAUGUAUUACUACUACAAAUUUUCAAAUAGAAUGCAAUUUGCAAAUCUGCACAUUUUCAUACAAGAAUCAUUUUUUCUUCUCCAAACAUGAGAAAUUGAUCACAGAUAUAAGUUGCAUCUUUAUGAUGUGUUUGGCUCGAUAGAAACUAUGAGAGGAGGAGCAAAAUUCCUCUAAGAUGAGAAGGUUUUGAAGGGAAAAUAUUUAAACCUAAAUGUAUUUUUUUUUACAGCUUAAUUAUUUUUUUCUUCUUCAAGUAAUCUAGUGAUUAAAACUUCCAAAUUUUAAAUGCGAAAAAAAUGGAGUGUUUAAGCUCACGGAGAUCUUAAAUGUUGUUUUAUUCAAUGUCAUUUUAAAUAGAAUAAGAGUAAAAAAAUAAUUAAAAAUCACGUUCUUGCUGUUAAAUAUUCUCCCAUGGUUGAAUCUAACAUAAUUGCUUACCUCCCAUCCCUUCCCUAUUAAAAUUCUUCCUUUCUCCUCCAUCAAUUGAACUAAAACCAUACCCUUCUGCAUAAUUCAUAGUAGUAAUAAUAACUUGUUACAUAAGAAGUAUAAGAGAGCAAUGAUGCAAAUGAAGAGAGACUAGGAAAACCAGCCACAAAUUUUAUUUCAAUGCUUUAAUUUGAUGAUCAUUGAUGUCCUAAAAGCCGUUCAAGAAUAUGGCAAUCUCUAACCCCAUAUAAUUAACCCAACAUAAUAUUUAAUAAAGUAAGUUCAAGAUAAAAUAAAUAAACUAUAGUCUAUAUAGAAAUUAAAUAACAAAGAUGAAAAUGAAAAAGAAAAAAAUAAUAAAAAUGCCUGGCUUUCCCAUGUACGCCUGUAGUGAUGAAUUCUCCAACACAAAUGAGAUCAAUCCUAGUCUUCAAAACCAUACCUCGUACCAACAAAGUCACAAAAAACAUCCUCAAAAAAUUGAAAAUGAAUCUUUGCAAAAUCCUUAAAUAUUUUCCUCUUGUUCUUCAUGUCCAUGACCAUCUAGUUUCUCAAUGCUUUUAGAAAGAACACAAAAAGGGUAUCACUAUGUUUGAGUUUAUAUACAAAAAAUUUAUAAUAGUUAUUAGAGUGAAGAAAAAGAGAGAAAGGGAAGAGGUAUAUAGAAGAAGAUUGUUUUGUUCCCAAGAAGAUGAAGAGUUAGAGGAUUUCCCGUUGAUGUUGUUUUCAAAGAGGGUUUUAAUUUUCCUUAAGGUGGGCCAUAAAAGAAGGCCUUUUUGUUUCACACGUUGGGGUGGAUCUAUUUGUCUUCCCUCUCAAACUUGAGUCAAUGGUUUUAGUUUUAGCUAUAUUAAUUAACUUUCAAUGAAACAAUGAAGUGAACCACCAAACCAAAUAAUUUAAUUACAUCUUGUACGUCUGCCGUUUAUUUCUUUAAUUCUUUCUAUGUAUGUGUAUUUCUUCUUCCACAUCUUUAUACUCCUUGCUAGCUGUGUACCUUCUGGUAGGGUAGGGUGUAUCACCAAAAAGUUUUAUUUUAUAAAUACCUUCAAAGAGGUUUAUAAAGAAAAAUUGAAGUAUUUCAUAUGAAUAUUACUAUAAGAAAAUGUUAACGAGUCCCCCGAAAUAUUUUUUAAGGAAUUAUAAAAGAAAAUAUUAUUUUAGAAAUUGUGUAUUUUACAUUUUAAAAGUUAAAAAAGUGUUAUUUUUAAUAAUUAGUUGUGUUGAUUUUAUGAUAAAAUUUCAUGACUUUAGUUGUUAAUAGUUGGUGGAUUAGCCAUAUGAUUGAAAUACAAUAAAAAUUAUGCUGGCAAUGUAAUCGCUCUUCCCAACACACUAUAUCUCUAGUUGGUUUGAUUUUAAAUGGAGUCUACAAAAUUUAUGCAGAGUUUACAUGAUUUAGUAAGAUCCAUUUAAAUUUCAACCAAUUAGAUAGAGUGUGUUGGAAAUAGUGUGUCAAAGUGUAUGUUGUUAGGAGAUAUUCAAUUAUAAUCAUAAACAUAAAUGAGUAUGCUUAUGCGCGCACAGAGAAAGAGACUUAUCCUAGUAGUAAUUUUUUAUCAAUUUAUUUUUUUUAUUAUUAAAAAAAUCUCUUUAUGCAUGUUUGAUCAAAACACUUUUCAUCUAUGCUUGUGACCAUAGAAGAAUAUCUCAUGUUGCUAUCGCUAAAUAAAUAUAUAUAAAAAUGUUAGAAACACCAUCUUUCUAACACUAACUCUUUUAUUGAGUGAAAUUCAUGACGGCCGCACCACCUUAUGUUGGAUUCAUUUCUAAAGUGUGAGACUCACAUGAGUUUCAUCCAAUAAAAAAUAGUGUGUUAGAAAGAAAGUGUCUGUAACUCUCCUUGAAGAUAUCCUAGUGUUAAUUUAGUUGAAAUAGAUAAAUAUUGCAAGUGAAACACUUAUAAUUAAUACUCCAUCCGUCUCAAUUUAACCGAGUCAGUUUGACAAUUUUACACAAAUUAAGAAAAAUGUAUAAAUGAUAGAGAGAGAAGAUAUUUUUACCUCGGAUGGAGUAAGAGUAUUCUACGAAAAAGAUAAAAAGUUGCUUUGAAGUUUAAAAACAAAAAUUUGUCUCGGAAAUAAUGCAUUCAAUGCAUUGAAAUUUAAAAAAAAAUAACUUUUUCUAUUUAAAAUUUACCAAUUAUUUUCCUUUUUGCAUCCUUAAUACUCCAUCCAUCCCAAAUUGUAUGACGUUUUGGGCAUUUCACACAUAUUAAGAAAUGUAAUUAAUAUUGUGUGGGAAAGAGAUAUUAUGAGUUGUUUUACAAAAUUGUCCUCAAUAAAUUAUAUGGGAAAAAUAAAUGAAGGAAUUGAAAGAAAAGAGAGUAAUAAAUAGUUAAGGAUAUAAUAGGAAAAAUAACAUUAAUUUUUCAUUGGUAUUGUAAAGCGACAUAUAAUUUGGGACAAAUAUUUUUUCUAAAGUGACAUACAAUUUGGGACAGAGGGAGUAAAUGUCUUUAGGGCACUUGUUAGCAAGACAUGAAAAAACGCUAACAAGUGCUCUUAGAACACUUGUUAAGAAGUUUAAAGAAUAAAUUUUGUCUUGAAAUUAAAAUAGUGCAUUCAAUGCAUUGAAACUUUAAAAAAUAAUUUUUCCUACUUACUCCAUCCGUUCCAAAUUGUAUGAUGUUUUGGGCAUUUAACACAUAUUAAGAAAUACAAUUAAUAUUGUGUGGAAAAGAGAUAUUAUGAGUUGUUUUACAAAAUUAUCCUUAAUAAAUAAUAUGGGAAAGAUAAAUGAAAGAAUUGAAAGAAGAUAGAGUAAUAAAUAGUUAAGGUUAUAAUAGGAAAAGUAACAUUAAUGUUGCAUUGGUGUUGUAAAGCGACAUAUAAUUUGGGAUAAAUUUUUUCCCCUAAAGCAACAUACAAUUUGGGACGGAGGGAGUAAAAUUUACCAAUUAUUUUCAUUUUUAUAUCAUAAACAAGUGCUCUUAGGACACUUGUUAACAAAACUAUUGAUUUUUGUUUCUUGAUCGGGGUAAAUAACCUUAAGAAAGGAACAAACAAAACCAAUUUAAGUUGGUCUGAAAUUUAGGUUGGUCUGAUAGUGUUUACUUAGACUUUAGAGUAUCCUCCUCCUCAAUAUCUCAUGUUCGAUUCUUCUUCAUUUCAGUUUAAUUGGGUUAGUUUAACUUCUUGAAAGACAAAAAAAACAAAAAAACUAACAACUUUUACAAAAAUAACCAUUUUUUAGUAUUCUACGGGAUAGUUACUAUUCCUUUUAUUUGAUAAAUACUUCUUCCGUACUUACAAGACUCCUUGACAUUAUUUUUCCACAUAUAUUAAGAAAAUUUGAUGGUGCAAUUAAUAUACAUAUCUUGUCUAUAACUAUUAUUAAAUUAUUCUUUGUGUAUAAAUACAUUUGAUAUCACUGUUCAUAUUCAAAAAUAAAUUUAUACUAUCAAAAAGAAAUAUAUUGGUAAAAAGAAUAAUAAUGUAUCUAAAAAUUUAAUUUUCAAAUGGUAAUGUUUAGGGAUACGGUAAUGCUUAGUACAGCGAUAUCCAAAACCACGACACUAUAUGAAAGUGUACAUAAGUGCUAUUGAAUUGAAAGUUUGACUUCAAAACACCCAUGAUUCUGUGAUUUCCGGCCAAAAUACAAUUUUAUUGGAUGCAUAUUGGUUUUGUGAUGCCCUUGUGAGAAUUUCUUUGGUAAUAUAUAGCAUUGCUCUUAUCUUAAGGAUAAAUAGUUGUUGUAAAAGAAUCUUAUAAUUUAGGAUCGCAGAGUAACAAAUUUAGACUAGAGAACAAACAAUGAGAAAAUAAUUUUGAACUUGAAUUUAAACAAUACUAACUUAUAUAGAUGGAAGAUCCAACUAUUUUUAUCGGCCUAUAUUAGGCAAGUUGAGUCUCAGAAUUUAUCAAAUGUCAAGAAAGUUGAAUCACAAAGAGUACUUACAUCAUGCACUUACAUACAAGAGUAGAUAAAAAAAACUAUUAAAUUGGGGGUAAAAAAUAUCAAAGUAUUAAAUAUACUCUAUAGAUUUUCACAUUGAAUUCAAGUUUUUUCCGUUAUCUUACUAUAUGCACGAAGUUUUCACCGUCUGUUGAAGUGAAACACACAAGGUGUGUUCUCACUUUCCAAAAGAAUUUUCUCCAUAUCUUAACCCGUCACCACUUGCUAUCACGUAGAUCAAUCUGUCCAAUGUUGCAACUCAAGUUAUUAUACACUAGAUGAGUUUAAUCUUUGCAAAUUAGAUUAACAUUAGAAAAAUCAUUUAUAUGAAAACAAAUGAGAACGAAUAUUAAACCUACCAUGGCUUCUAUUUUUGACUGUAUAUGACACUUGUCUCUAGGAGCAUUUUUAUUAAACUUGCACUGACAUGUCCCUCCAUUGCCGGGUACAACAACUUCAAAAAUGUGUAAAAUAUAUUGAUUAUUUUUGGAGUGGUAGAUUGAUAUUCUUUCUCAGACAAGUAAUCUUGCUUAUUGUAAAUAUAAUAGCUUGAAGGGAAUUGGCAGAUUCGAUCUUAUCGUGGGUUGCUUGAAGCUUGCAAUAUCAAUAAUUGAGGAAGCAAAUAAUUAGUGUACUAGUCACUGCAUGUGAUCAUUACAUUAAUAUCAUGCCAUUAAUUACUUAGAUAUAAAUUAAAAUAUGGGAUAAAAAAUGUAAAACAUGCUAGCUUUUUUUAUGUAUUUUGUUGUACGAUGAAUAUAUUUUAUAUAUAUCUAUAAGUACAUUAAACAAUAACAUAUAGUGUGUCUUGAUUUGUAUAUGUUCCUACAAUAGUUUAUUUGCUUGAUUUUGCAAUAAGGCCAGUCCACGGUUUCUGUGUGGUUUACCAAUAACCCACUGCCAACAGUAAUUAACAUAUGUAAAGAAGGUAAAAAUUUUCGAUUUCAGAUUGCAAACAAUUUAUGAGGUAUAUUUGACUUUUUACUCUUAAAAAAUGCCUCAAGGACACUUGAUAUCAUUUCCCUUUUCUUUUAUUCAAAAAUCCUCUCCACACAUAAUAGUAUAAUACCUUACUUUUUUAAAUAGGUCAAGAGGUAGGACCGCCAUCAAGAGAUAACUUCAACAUCUUAACUAGAUUGACGUCCCAAAAGACACUUAUCCUAUGUCGCAUACUUAAAAAAAAAUCAAUUAUUAAAAAGGGAAAAAAUAUACAAGAGGGACAAUCAAACCAAAACCCUCAAAAAUGAAAGACAAAAGAAAAAUACAAUUCAUCAUCGAAAAGUUCUAUAACUUUCCAUUACGUCCUCCUUUUCCACCACCGGGAAUGGGUAAUUUGUAUCCACCACCACCUCCUUCUCCACCUUUACCACCCUUUCCAUCGUCACCCCCUUUUGCACCGCUACCCCACCAUCCUGUGCUCCAACUUCGCUCCAUCUUCCAUGAAUUGUCGACAUACCCUUUUCCACAAUGACCCUCUAUUCCAUCACCACACCCGUCAUUGUUUUUCCCUUUGUUGCCAUUCCUGAUUGCACCUAAGCCCAACCAGUAUGAACAACAAUCAACUCCAAUGUUAGUAUUUGAUUUUUCUAUUUCCCAAGCUAAAAAUAAAUAUUUUUUAUGUGUAAAUAUCUCAUUGAUCCCUGCACUUUCACCGUAUUUUGGCAUUGAUCUCUGUACUCCGUAAAAUUUUACUAUUGGUCCUUCUGCUAAGUCCAAAUUAAAAAAACUAACAAUGUGUCACAUUGACCAAUCAUUCCACGCCACGUGGCACACUAAAAGAUAAAAAAUAUUUCAGAUCUUUAACUUUUAUUUUAUUCAUUAUUUUUUGACUUAAAAAUAUCAUUAAUCCCUGCACUUUCGGUACUUUUUGAUAUUGGUUCCAUCACUUUUUGAUAAAAAUCAUUUUUGUUCAUUAAAAAAUUAAAGCUUUUAAUUGAGAAUAAUUAAAAGAAAAAUAUAAACUCUUUUUUAAAGAGUUAUUUUAUUUUAAUUUUUAAAAUAAUAAUUAAAAAAAUAAUUUUUUUCUCAUUAAAGAAAUAUAAUCAUUUUUUUCGAACAAUAAAAAACGGUUAAAGAAAUAUAAUCAUGUGGACCAAUUAUUUUUUAAAAGAAUAAUUAUAAAAUCAUUUUUGAUCAUUUAUAAAUGAUUUAUUUUAUUUUAUUUCUUUAUAAUUAUUCUCAAUUUUUUUGAAGGACCAAUUAUUCUUUAUAAUUAUUCUCAAUUUUAUUUCUUUAUUUCUUUAUAAUUAUUCUCAAUAAAAAUAAUGAACAAGAUAAUGAUAAAGCAUAAUAAUAUCAUUCAAAGUUUUAAAAAAAGUGCAGGGAUCAAUAUCAAAAAGUACUGAAAAUGCAUGGACUAAUGAUAUUUUUACGUUUAAAAAUAAUGAAUAAAAUAAUAAUAAAAAAUUAAUAUUUUUGUCUCUUAAUGUGCCACGUGGCACACCGUUAAAUUAUUAUUUUUUAACUUGGAUUUAACGGAAGGACCAAUAACAAAACUUUUACAAAUUGUAGGGUCUAAUGCCAAAAAAAAAGUACAGGAACCAAUGUCAAAAUAUAGGGAAAGUGUAGGGAAUAAUCACUUAUUUUAACCUAUUUUUUAUUAGAUAUAAACAAAAGAAAAAAUUCCUACCACUACACUCGUUUGUGUUUCUAUCGCCGGAGCUUGCAAUACGGUGCCUCUGCCUAGCGAGUUUGCAUAUAUAAAAGAUAUAAAAGAAUAAAACGAUUGUGCAUAUAUGAAAACUAUUAUAUAUAUAUAUAUAUAUAUAUAUAUAUAUAUAUAUAUAUAUAUAUAUAUAUAUAUAUAUAUAUAUAGACACACACAUUGUUUACCUUCGGAAGGCAUAAUUGCCACAAGAAAUAUGAGUAGUAGUGCAUAGAAGCACAGAGAGACAAACAACUUGGUUUUCAUCCUUAUUACAACAAAUUGAGAGUAUCUUGUGAGAUAUUAUGAACACAAUCAAAAACUAUAUAUAUAUAUAUAUAUAAUGAUCACGAAACACUAAUUAUAAGUAAAAAACUAAAUAUAAUGAUCAUGAGACAGUAACUAUAAGGGACCUAAAAGAACGUGAUUAGAUAAAAUACAUUGUACAACAAAAAAAAAAAAGAUAAUAUAUCUUGAUAACAAAAAUAGAAGAUAAUAUUUUGUUAACUAAUUGCGAGGAUAAUUGGUCAUCAACAACUAUUAAGCAAUGAAAGGUUAAAUCGGGGAAUGUUUGGUAACCAAAGUAAGCAAGAUUCUUGAUAAUGACAACUAGCAAAUCCUAAUGGCAACAAAUUCUCAGUAUUUUUAGAAAAAUGAUAAUCAUUGCGAAGAACAAACUGUUGUUUAUUCCAUAUGAUCUAUACCAUGCCAUAUUUUUAAGAAAUUGAUAUAAUAUGCAACCAUUUAUUUUCAUUUCUUAAAUUGAAUAUUAAUAUACCACAAUUAGAACUCUCAAAAUGGUUUAGACCCACCGGACCUCUAUUUUAGUGUGGGCCAAAUAGUUAAAAAAGCACGAAAAAGACCCUUUAUUUUUGGGCCAAUCCAAGGGUGUUCGGUCGGGGUUAGGUCAUUGGCUUUUGGGUUGGCCUUUAAAACUUAUGUAGACUGAAUUAUUUUAUUAUGUAUUGUUGAAUUUUAUUAUCUCUGAGAUUCACAUUAUGAGUUGUGAUAAAUAUACUUUAUACUUUUACAUUGAUGUUUUAGCUAUAGUAAUUAACUUUCAAUGAAACAAUGAAGUGAACCACCACCACACUCGUUUGUGUUUCUAUAGCCGGCUUGCAAUAUUGUACCUCUGCCUGGCCAGUUUGCAUAUCCAUGUACCCCAAUAUCUAUCUAAUGUGGGACCCGGAUUUUCCCAAUGCACCCCCUCACGCCCAGCACUCUUUGGGCUUGGUGUGUUAAUAGGUAGAUGGCCCUUGAAUUCGACAAGCUCUGAUACCAUGUUGAAAUUUGAGGCUUAACUCAUCCUUACAAAUCCGGCUUGCAAGGUGAGGAUUGACUCCUCUUUAUAAACUCUUUCAAGAGUCUUAUCUAUCCGAUGUGGAACUUGAAUUUUUUCCAAUAUGACGUUUUUAAAUCAUAACAAGGCUAACAUGGCGCUCCAGCUUUUGUGGUUAAAACAAACCAAUUGGACAUUUAGGACUUUACAACAAAAAUAUUUCGGGACAGUUUGGGAUCUCACAAAUCCUCUCCAUACAUUUUUUUUUAGGAUUAUCAAAUGUCCUAAGGACAUUGUCUAAGGAAACCAUAAACAAAAAAUACUCUUUUAAAAACACAAACCAAACAUAUGAAAAAGUAAUAAAUACACAUAUUUUAAUGCAAAAGUUACAACUUUCGAUUACUUAAACAAUGCCUCAAUGACACUUGAUAUCAUUUUAUUUUUCUUUAAUUAAAAAAAUCCUCUCCACACAUAAUACCUUACUUUUUUGAAUAGGUCAAGUGAUAGGACUGACAUCAAGAGAUAACUUCGACAUCCCAACUAGGUUGGCGCUCCAAAAUACUCUUACCCUUUGUUGCCUACUUCAGAAAAAGUCUAUUGUAAAAAAGGGAAAAAAAUAUACAAGAGGGACAACCAAACCAAAACCCUCAAAAAUCAAAGACAAAAGAAAAAUACAAUCCACCAUCGAAAAGUUCUAUAACUUUCCAUCACGUCCUCCUUUUCCACCGCCUCCUUUUCCUCCACCGGGAAUGGGUAAUUGGUAUCGACCACCACCCACUUUUCCACCUUUAUCACCCUUUCCACCGCCACCCCCUUUUCUACCGCUACCCCACCAUCCGGUGCCCCAACUUCGCUCCUUCUUCCAGGCAUUGUCAACAUACUCCUUUCCACUAUGACCCUCUAUUCCAUCACCAUACCCGUCAUUGUUUUUCCCUUUGUUGCCAUUCCAGAUUGCACCUAAGCCCGACCAAUAUGCACAACAAUCAACUCAAAUGUUAGUUUUUGAUUUUUCUAUUUCCCAAGCUGAAAAUAAAUAUUUUUUAUGUGUAAAUAUGCCAUUGAUCCCUCCACUUUCACCAUAUUUUGGCAUUGGUCUUUGUACUUUUAAAAGUUUUAUUAUUGGUCCUUUUGUUAAGUCGAAGUUAAAAAAAACUAACGAUGUGCCACGUUAACCAAUGAUUCCACGCCACAUGGCACACUAAAAGAAAAAAAAUAUUCCAACUCUUUUACUAUUAUUUGAUUCUUUAUUUUUUGACUUAAAAAUAUCAUUAAACCCUGCACUUUCGGUACUUUUUGAUAUUGGUCUCAACACUUUUUGAUAAAAAUAAUUUUUGUUCAUUAAAAAAUUAAAGUUUUUUAUUGAGAAUAAUUAAAAAAGAUAAAAAAUAUUUUUUAAAGAUUUUUUUAUUUUAUUUUUUAAAUGAAUAAUUAAAAAAAUCAUUUUUUCUCAUUAAAGAAGCAUAAUCAUGUGGACCAAUUAUUUUUUAAAAGAAUAAUUAUAACAUUUUUGAUCAUUUAAAAAGAUUUUUUUAAUUUUAUUUCUUUAUAAUUAUUCUCAAUAAAAAUAAUGAACAAGUUGAUAAUAAAGUAUAAUAAUAUCAUUCAAAGUAUAAUAUUUAUCUUUGAUUUGUUUCAUCAGCUGCAAUUAUAAAAGACUUCUUAUUAAAUAUAAAAGAAUAAAACGAGUGUGCAUAUAUAUGAAAACUACUUUAUAUAUAUACAUGAUUGUUUACCUUCGGAAGGCAUAAUUGCCACAAGAAAUAUGAGAAGUAAUGCAUAGAAGCACACAGAGACAAACAACUUGGUUUUCAUCCUUAUUUCAACAAAUUGAAAGUAUCUUGUGAGAUAUUAUGAACACAGUCAAAAACUAUAUAUAUAAUGACCAUGAGACACUAACUAUAAGUCAAAAACUAUAUAUAAUGAUCAUGAGACGCUAACUAUAAGAGGAUCAAAAGGAACAUAAUUAGAUAAAAUACAUUGUACAUAAAAAAAAGAUAAUAUAUCUUCAUCGAAAAAAAGAAAAGAAUAUUAUAUUUUGUUAACUAAUUGCGAGGAUAAUUGGUCAUCAGCACCUAUUGAGUAAUGAAUGGUUAAAUUGGGGAAUGUUUGUUAACCAAAGCAAGCAAGAUUGAGACAAUGACAAAAUGCAAACCACAAUGGCAACGCAUUCUCAUCUUUCUUUAAAAAAAUGAUAAUCAUUGUGAAGAACAAAUUGUUGUUUAUUCCAUAUGAUCUAUACCAUGCCAUAAAUUUAAGAAAUUGAUAUAAUAUGUAACCAUUUAUUUUCAUUUCUUAAAUUGAAUAUUUAUAUACCACAAGUAGAACUCUCAAAAAACCUCUAUUUUAGUGUGGUCUCAACAAUUAAAAAAGCAAGAAAAAAAAGACCGAAUUCUGCUCUUCCCCAACAAAUUUUGCUCACUCCCAGCUGAAAAUAGUAAAAUGUCUCUGCUUGAGUUAAGUCACGUUGCGUGACUUAACUCACGCUAGUUAUAUUCCUGCGUGACUUAAGUCACGCACCUCUGGGUGGUAGCGUGAGUUAACUCACGCUGCUUUGACCGGUGGUCUGAGCUCAAGAACACGUUUUUGAACGAUGAUCAAUUAUUCAACCUUGAUUUUACGCCAUUUUACGCAUUUCUUUUACACGUUUUUUGACUGCAUUUAGUGUAGUUAAAACUUAUGUUACCAUUCCCCCUAUAAAUAUCCCUCCAACCUUCACCAUUUUCUCACACCAUCAUCUCAUAUUCUCUCCUCCUUACUCUCUCUCCCCCUAUAAAUCUCCUUCUAACUUUUUACCCUUUUGGGAUAAAAAGAAACCAAUAUUGGGGUAAAAAGAGAUCAAUUGACUUAGGGUAAAAAAUGUUCAACCCUUAGGAUAAAACUAAAUCUGCUUCGUUUUACCUCAAAAACUUUUUACCGUAGGUAAAAAGAAUCUUCUUGGGGGUAUAAAAAGAACCAAAUUUAAAUUUAUCCUAAGGGUUGAUGUCUUUUUACCCCAAGAUUGGUCUCUUUUUACCCCAAAUUAAAGUUGGUUUCUUUUUACACCAAAGAAGCAUACUUAGUAAAUUCGAAUAAAAUUUAUCAAUUAUUAAUAAAAUGAGAUUUUAUAUGUACUAUUUUUGUUUCUUUCUUUUUAUUUACAUUGACAUUUAUUUUAUGAUUUUGUCAUUUAAAUAAUAUAAUGUCUUCGAACACUAAUUAAACCCAACGUGAAUUUGAAUAAAGUUGCGUAUUGAAUAAAUUCGAUAAAAUUUGCAUCUUAAAUAAAUUUGAAUAAAGUUGCGUAUUUAAUAAAUUUGAAUAAAGUUGCGUAUUUAAUAAAGUUAAAAUCAAUUCAAAAAAUAAAUGUAAAAAAUAAAGUCACAAGUACACAUAAUCAAUUAAAAAAAUACACAAUUUUAUUUAGUUUUAAUUUCUUCUAUGAUACAUUAGUUACAUUCUUCCUAAAUAUGUGGUAUCAUCAGGAUGUUGGAUUUAAAUUAAAUUCUUAAAAGUUUGCAGAAAAUGGUAGAAUUGAAGUGUCAUAUACUUUGGGUAGAGAUUUGCAACUUUCGUUGAAAAGUCAAUAGAAUGAAGAGAACACAACACAUGUAUUCUACAAAAUCAACUAUAUAUGUUAUGACAUCGAAUUCCUUCAUAUAAGAUGAGUCAUCACAUAAAGGAAAGCAUUCCAAGAGGUUGCUUUGAGUUUAAUCUUACUGCCCUGCCAACUGACAAGUUUCAAUUGACAGAGGAGCACGAUCAAACUCAAAGGAACCUCUUAGAGGUGAAUUCUGUGACACUAAUCUUAUACGAAGGAAUUUGAUAUCAUAACUUAUAUAACUGAUUAUGCAGAAUACAUGUUGUGUUCUCUUAAUCUUUUGACUUUUCAAACUAACAAGAAUUUAUUUUAAAUUCCAACAAAAUAAAGACACUACCUAAUUUUUGAAAGGAACAAUAGAAUUUACGGAUGAAGGCUUCAAAGUUGUUGUUUAACAAGUUUGACCUUAUCCAAUUUCAGAGGUAAGACAAUUGUUGUAGUUGGAAGGUGCAUUCCCUACCUAAUCACGAUCUUCUGGCAGAAUUAAACUAUUGAGAAGAUCUUCAGGCGAUCUCAGCAACGUGACAAACACAUUGAUCAACGGGAACAUGAUGUGGUGCCAAAAAAUCGAGAACAUGCUCCUCACAUCGUCAACGUUCUUUAAUUCUAGCCGACUUAACGUUAUUCUCCGGUCGUCCAAUGUUGGACGUUCAUACCAAAUGUAUUCCACCCUCCUCGUGUCUCCGGGGUUGAGUCCUUGGUUGAUUUCAUCAAGUUGAUCCUUGAGACAUUUUAACGUGAUAUUAAUGUAUUGAAGCUUGAACAUCUGUGGAUUUCUACCGUUGAAAUGUAUGCUAACACUGAACAAAUCGAUCAUUGUUUCAAACCUACACCAUAAAAAAUUAAACAAUCAAUGAAAAACUAAUUCAAACAUUUCAUCAAACACUUGGAGUCGAAAUUAUACAUAAACCCUAAAACUCAUUACUACAACAUAAACAUGCAAACAUCUAAGCAAUUAAACAAUAUAAGUCAUUUACAUGUAACAUUGUAUCAUUUCUUGCAAAAAAAAAAUCAAAAUUUAAACAAAACCCUAAAACUUAAAAAAUCUAAUUUAAGCGAAAAAUCUAACAUAAACAUGCAAACAUCUAAACAAUUGAGAAAUAUAAGUCAUUUACAUGUAACUGUUGAAGCAAAAAUCUUUUUGAUGAAUGUUUUAAUGAUAACAAACCUCGUGAAAUAAAUAAUAAGUUUUAUGAAUGGUAAUCUACUGAUGGUUGCACUUGAGUUUUUGUUAAAAGAACAGGAAUCACAUAAGUGGAUGAGCUUGAAGCCACUCACGUCAAUAAGUGCAUUAUAUCUACUCAACAAUGAAAGAAUGAAUUUAUCAUCAGUUGAAACACCAAUAUCAUAUCUCCAUAAAGAUUCAGAGCUCAAGAAUCAUGAUAGAAGAACUUGUAUCAUGAUGGAAGAACUUACAUAACAAGCUAAAGAACAACGUGCUUGGAGUUAUGUGACAAAACUCACAAUGAGUGUUAUGUUAUAUGAUUUGAAGAUCAUCCAUGGGUAAACAAGAUAAAAGGAAAUAUGCAUACAAGUUAGGAAGAUUCUCAGAACCUCCUCAAAGUAUCACACUUCCAAAGCUUCUAAAUAUAAGAAGUUUAAAGUUCAUAAUGUUCAUAUGAAUGGAGUUCAUAAUGAUCAUGAACAUAAACCAAAAUAUUUCCAGAAAUCAUAAGGGAUUAUUUCAUGGAUAAACAAGAAUAUUUAAAGUCAUCUGUUACAAGAAAUAUUGAACAGAAAUAUUCUUUUGGAUUUCAAAGAAAGAAUCAUCUUGUUUGUCAAAACAAAUGAUUUCUCCUUUAUAUUCUUCAAGUAGUUUUUGAAGGAAAUAAAUAGACAAUCUUCAUAAGGUUCAAAGUGUUGAAGAACAUUAGAAUGUCUAGCACAAGGUACAACCGUCAAAAAGGAAGGAACCCAGAGGAAACAUUCUGAAGUUCAUAUGUAUGAACCCAGAAGGAGUUCAAAAGGUUGUUCAGAAGGUUGCUCAGAAGGUUCAUUAGAGCAAAUCCAAAAAUCAAUGUCCACACCAAGAACAUGCAAGAACAGAUGUGACAUGAACAUAUCUUAUGAAGACAAUGAUUUUGACUUUGGAUCAAGAAAUCAUUAAAGGCAUCUAUGGUGAUUAAAGGAUUAAUGGACUUUGAUAGUUCUUGGUGUUUGUGCGUUCUUGAGUGAUUAACCAAGACACAAACAAAGUUUAAAGCAUACCAAGUGUAACACCCCGUUUUCCCAAUAUGAAAAUUUCUAAACAUUUAUCAGAGUAAACAACAUAAACGGGAUAUCACAUUCUUUUCUUAAAAUCAUAAACUGAAUAAAUAACUAUUUAUCCUUUAAAAUUCAAUAACAAAAUCUUAAAUACUUUGCAGUGGAAUUUCUUCAAUAACUAAAAACAAUCUUUGCCACUAAGGUCUCUUUAUAAAUGUCUCAUAAAAAUCCAAUCUAAAAACAUAGUCAUGAAUCUUCAAAAACAAUACGUAAGGAAUAUAAAAGUAAUAACAAAGUUCCCAUCCCGUUACGUAUCAGAGCACCUAAAGACACACAUGAGAGCUAAUCCACUCACAACAGCAACUGAAACUCGAUCACCUGCAAGUUACUCAUACGAAGAGCAACAUUUCCAAGCAGAAGGGGUGAGAUUUCACAAAACAAUAAUAUUAAGCAUAUAAUUCAACAAUUAUAUUUAAUCAACAUCAAAUCAUCUUAAUAUUCAUUAUAGAUAGUACUAUAUCAUUUAGCACUUCAAUCAUAGUUUGUAUAAACAAUUACAACUUCACAACUUAUCAACUUAAACAUCCUUGACUCGACAAAUGUGACUCCAACUCGAUUAUGCAACUUAGACCUCUUAUAUGCAUGUGGUACCAAUACGGAGCAUCAAGCCCCUAUCGCUAUUUGAGUAUUAUUAUACUUCCAGAGCAUCAAGCCCCAAUCGCUAUUUGAGUAUUAUUAUACUCCCGGAGCAUCAAGCCCUAAUCGCUAUUUGAGUAUUAUUAUACUUCCGGAGCAUCAAGCCCCAAUCGCUGAAUGCUAAUGCAUGGACUCGACCUCUUAAACAUCUUAAUUCAACGACCUCUUAUAUUAAUCCAAUAAUUUGGAACAUCAUCAUCUUCAACAUCUUAGACCGACUCAUGCAGCUUAGUUAAAUAACAAACAGCAACAUAGGUAGUAUGCAAACCAUCAUGAUAUAAUAAUAUCGAACUUAAGUCAUGUAAUGUAUAUACAAUUAUAUAACAUUAUAACAACAUCAAAUUAUGAACAAAAUCGCGUAAUAUCAUAAAAUAAUUUUCAAUAUAACUAUCAUGCCUGUAAAGAUAUUACUAUGAAAUUUUAAUAUAUUCUUUCGGCCAAAAUAGCAGCAAAUAUUCGGUGCUCAUACAUAUGCACAUAAUCCUUUAGAAGUAUACUCACUUUAUAACCUAUUUGAAAUUAGCCAAGACACGUAAAUAAUUACUAGUGUAGCAACUCUAUCCAAAAAAAACUACUAAUGUAGCAACAAUUCAUAAAUAAAACACUAAAUAAAUAAAUGCAUGAUUAAUGUAUUAGCAUCAUUAGCCUGUUAAGCAGUAUAUUUCUUUCUAAAGGUAUUAGCAUCAGACUACGUUAGUUAAAAUUAAUGUUUUGUGAAACUAGAAAUCACGACACAAAUAACCAAUUAGAGAUCAGAAAAGCACCAGUUUCGGUGAACUUUUGAAUCGUAUUCAAAAUUAUUAGAUAGCCGAAAUUAAUUUAUCAAAACUAGGAUUCAAUAAUAUUCCUAUGCAGCAUCUCUCCCGAAUUUCAAAUAUAAAACAACUUAUGUAUUUACGACUUAUAUUUUUGGCUUUUCUAACCCUAAUUUCUCUAAUCCUCAAACCUAACGACAACUAUAAGGUUAAACCAUUUUUCAUCAAUUAAUCUCAAAUUUCUCACCUUAACCCUAAUUCUCAAAUUCUCUAAAACCAAUCCUACACUUGUUAAAUUUAAUCAUCAGAAUUACAGACUUAAUAGAAUUGAAUGCUAGUCUCACCCUUACCUUAGAAUGAAUGAUCGGCGGCUUCUCUCUCUCUUGGUUCUCCUCUUCUCUUGUUUUCUCCCGUUUUCUCCAAAAAGCAGUUUCACGUAAAAAAGUUUCUAAACAUAGUUUUCUUCUUAUAUCUCUCCUCAUUUUAUUUUUCUUAUUUCCUCUAUUUUCACUAAACUCCUCUAAAUUCCAAAACAGCUCCACAUCUCAAUAUUUAUUUUAUUUUCAAAUCUUAUUCUAUUAAAUACUAAAAUAAGCCACUUAAUAAAUCACAUAAUCAUUUAAAUAUAUUCUAAACUCAUUAAAAAUAAUCGAAUAAAACAAAUAAUUCAAAGAGGGCGUUACACCAAGAUACAAAGAAUCAAAGGACAUAAAGACUUAAGAACUCAGUUAGAGUUCAAAAAGUUAAAAAGAGUUCAGAAGGUUGGACAGAGUUCAGAAGGUUGUUCAUGAUGAACAUCAAGAACCAAACCCAAAAAUUCAUGAACCAAAUAAAGAACAUACAAGGUUCACAUGACUUAAAUAAAAUCCCAGUAAAGUACAUUGACUAAGAUCAAUCAAGGAAUAAAGACAUUUAUUUGAUUAAAGUCAAAAAGGGCAUCUUCAAUGUUCAUUCAAGACUAUGAACAUUUGAAGUACAAAACAUUUGGAAUAUUCCAUUAAGAAUAUCAUCCUAGAUGUUUUCCAUGCUGCACUUCAUCGAUGUUCCACUAUUAGGAUUUGAUUACAUCAAAUAAGAGUCUUACAAAUCAUCCUAAGUGAAACAAAAACAACAUUCUGAAGUCCCUUGAGUUCAGAAAGUUCGAUCCUGCUCCAUGCUUUUUCUGUCAUGAACAGUACAGUGGUUGGAAAGCAAAAGGCAAAGUCAAAAGCAAGAUCAGAUCUGAUUCAACAAGAUCUCGAUACAUAAGGGAGUUGGUACUGUACAAAGCAAACCAAAUCCCCUAAAGCAUGGAAGUGAAGUGACAGCUCCACUUUAUGAGAUCCUGCAUGCGCUCCAAGACAGAUUUCAAAGAAGAUCUGUUCUAUCAACAUUCUGAAGUUGUACAAAGAAAAUCUUCAAAGUACAACCCAGAAAUUCAUGUGACAUUCAUCUGCAAAAGCCCAGAUGCAUAUCUGACUGUUCAUCCACAUGAACCCAGACGAAGAUCAUGAAGAACGCAACAACAUUCUGAAGUAUUUCAAUUUGCCCAGAAUUUCAAAUUAAAGUUGGUGGGUCCCAGGACACGUGGCAUAAGACCAGUGGUCACUCUCCAACGGCUACAAAGGCUCAAGAACUCUAUAAAUAGAGAUCAAGACCUCAGCAUAACACACACCUUUGCAAAGCAUACAAGAAAACAACAUAAGAGUGUUUGAAGCUUUAGCAAAAAUAUUGAUCAUCACAAAGAUUCCAAGAAGUCUUCAAAAGUGUAAAUCAAUAUCUCUCUUAUCUUUUUAAAGAUAAACUUCUCCCUCCAUUCUUCUUCUUCUGUUUGUUUCUCAAACAUUCAAACUCCAAACAUCUUGUAAAGUCUCAUCUAGCUUUAGGGGUACUAAAGUGUUAGUCUGAGCUGAAGGUGUAAAAGUCUAAGUGGGUAACUUAGCAAGAAGUAAAGAAAGUCUCAUCUAGCUUUAGGGGUACUAAAGUGAUAGUUUGAGCAGAAGUUGUAAAAGUCUAAGUGGGUAACUUAGCAAGAAGAUGCAAGCCUGCUGAGGCUUAGAGAAUACAGUUGGCGUAAUUGUUCAGGUGAACAAAGAUUGUAAGGUGCAGGAUUUGAGAGGUUAUCUCAAGCAUCAUAGUGGAAACUCUCACAAGAUUGUGAGGAGUGGACUAACCCACAUUGGAGGAACCACUAUAAAUCUUUGUGUGUUCUUCUUCUCUUCCCUAUCCUCUUUAUUUUCAGUAUACACUACACACACAAACACAUAUGUAUAUUUAAAUUGUUUCUGUAUAACUACUUCAGAACGUUCUGAAGUCAGUUCACUAACUUAACUAUUCCAAGUCCAAAAUUUGAGAAUCAAUUUUAAGUUACAGGUUUAAUUUUUAAAGGGUCACAAUUCAAACCCCCUUCCUUGUGACUAUUUUAUCUACUUCAGUAACGUUGUAUCAUUUCUUGCAAAAAAAAUUCAAAAUUUAAACAAAACCCUAAAACUAAAAAAAAUCUAAUUUAAGAGCAAUAAAAUCUAACAUAUCAACAUAAAAAGGUUAAUGGUGUUUGAUUAUGAAAACUUACUUGUUAUUGGAGUGUUGUUUGAUUUGAAGUUGAAGGAAAUUUGUAUUUGUGUGAUUCGAGAGAGAUUUUUGAGUUUUUAGAUUGGAAAUGAGGAAUGAGGUUCUGCCUGCCUUUAAAACAACACGAAACAUGAGUUAACCCAUGCAAAUUUAACUCUAGCGUGAGUUUUCUCACGCAGGUGCAUUUUGGUAUUUUCAGUUGGGAGCGAGCAAAAUGUGUUGGGUAAAUAGAAGAAUUCAAAAAGACCUAUCUCUAUUAAAAAAAUAUGUUAUAUGUAGCUUUAUUGUUCAUUACAUCUAUUUUUUUUUUAAAAAAAAAACAUUUUGAAAUAUGGGUCGGGCUGAUCCAUUGGAUCGUGUAGCUCACUACAAAUUGGAUUGGGCACAAUUUUGGUGCCCAUCAAUCAAGUGGACCGACCCACUCCAAUCCAAUUAUAUGAGCUAGCUCACCGAACCAAGGCGAGUUGGGCCACACUGGCCUAUUUGACAGCCCUAUCCAUAAGCAACCAACAAACAAGCUAAUAGAUCUAGUCUUUUUGGUCGAACCUUAGGCUUUAUUUAGACAGAGCGAAGUGAGAAUGAGUUUACUCUUAAUGCGGUAUAUUGGAGAUUAUACUCUUCCAAUAUCAUGUUAACUUAUGUGAGUUUACAUUAUCUUCUAAAGAGCCAACACUAACAUGGGCAAAUUAAGUUCAUAUGAUCUUAUUUGAUCGUCUAAUGAGCUCUCUUAAUAUAUACCACAUAAAUGAAUUCAACUCUUUCUUUUUUGGUUUCAAGAGCACGAAAUUCACACGCACUAAAUACAUUGAAAAGAAUGGUUAAGAAGCAAAAGUUUGUUACCGUUCUAUUGAUUUACUCUUUUAGAGAACGGUUUUUUUUUUUUUUUUCUUCUUUUCAAUCCAACCUCAAUGGCUUCCCAGAUCAAUAACUCUGAGGUAAUGAAGUCAAUUACACAUGAGGUAAUGGAGUUAGGCAAUGUUUGGAUAAACAACUUCAUUUACAAUUUAUAGCUUAACCACUUAUAAUAUAAGCUCUUAUGAAUAAAAUGAUAAAAUAAAGUCAAUUUGUUUUUUGUAUAAGUUUUAAGUUGUUUUCAUAAGCUAUCUUGGAGAAUUUAUGUAAAUAAGCUGAAAACAGCUUAACAAGAUGUAAUAAGUUGUUUAUUUCAGUUUUCUCUAACAAUCUCACCAGUGCUUAUGCCAGUAGAUAAGCUAAAAUAAGACAAUCCAAACAUGCUCUAAGUAUGUUUAUUAUUUUGGAAUAUUUGUUAACUUGUUGGAAUAUAGUGACAUUGUGACAACCACAUCCCGAAUUUUGUAGGAUGUUGGACGACUUCAUGCUAGACAUAUCAAAACAAUGUCCUCAAUUGAUAUUGGUAAAUGAGAGAGACUCUAGAACAUAUAUUUUGGUCAAAUUUAUUUAGAAAUAAUCUUUGAUCAUAACAAUAUGAUUUUUCUUGUAGAAGAAGUAAAUGAAGAAGGGUAUCAAAGCUCGAGAGCACAAAGUUCUGUUCAACAGGAUCACAAGUAAGUUGCACAUAUCUUCAAAUUGCUGUAAAACAUAGAUUUUUCAUGUCAUGAUGCAUUCUACUAUGGUUGCUGGUGUGACCUUUUAUCAUCAUCCUCAUCAAUUUAUCUGCAUAAUUCCUUUCUUCUCUUACCUCAUCCUGCUCUCUUACACCAUCUCCUGCACUAAUUUAAGUUCCUAUACUUAGCUCUCUAACUCUCGGAUAUUGAAACCCUAGAUUAUCAAAUUACUUUUUUUUUUCUUUCCAGCAUGAUGUAACAUGUAUUUUUUUUUUUUUUUUUUGUAGAUAGACGAAAUGACAAAGCCAUUAUAAAUUCACACACACAAGUGGAGGUACCGGGGUUCGAACCCCUGUCAUGGCAUCCGGCCUAACAAUUUCAGUAUUUUGCCAGUUGAGCUAGGACUUUUGGAUGUAUUUGUUUUUAUUUUUCAAUUGAAUAAAUACUUGUUAUUUAACACUACUUAUAGCCCAACUCAUUCUUUUCUUCUACAAACAUAUAAGCUAAGAGGAGCAUAAAUUGAAAGCAAGAUUUCCACACAAAAAAAUUAGCCUCUAUGGCACAUUUGUUGGAAUUCAAAGAGAUCGUUAAUUGUUAAAGAUAGUCCUAGAAGGAUUUCUUAAAGAGUACUUGAGAGUAUAUAUCAUUUAUUAGUUAUAGGGAGUACAUUAGGUGAUGUUAGCAAUUGGGUAUUGGAGGUUUAACAAUAAAGCAACAUGUGUUAGCAAUUGUUAAACAUUAUUUUAUUUUACACUUCUGAUUCGUUCUAAUUGCUUAAAUGGUCAGAAAUUAUAUUUUCUAUAAUUUAUAUUUUUAUCGUUUUGGAAUGCAAUGAAGAGCAUUAUUAAUUUUAAAUCAAUCAAUCAAUUUCCCGCGGAUUUACCUGCAGUUUUCUGUUUACUUGAUAUCCUUUCAUGCGGAUUCUCCUGCGUAGUUUGCUGCCGAAAUACCUGCAAGUAUAUUCGCAAGAAAGUGCUAACGGGCUGGACACUUCCAAACACUGACCUAAUACUUCUUGCGGAUCCUAAAAUCCUAUGGAAACAAUUACCCAAGGUGUUACAUGAGAACCUAAAUUCUUGAUGAAAUCCGCAGGAACUGUUUUACCAGCGGAAUUUUCAUUAAACUCCGUAGGUAAUUCUGUAGGAAAACCAAGACUUUCAGUUGUGAUAGUAUAUACUCACUUAAUAUGGGGCGGACGACAUAAUUGCCACAACAAAGAUGAGAGAAGUAGUGCAUUGAAGCACAAAGACAUAACACAACUUGGUUUUCAUCCUUGUUACAACACUGCAUUCAGAUGCCAUUACAUUAAUAUCAUGCCAUUACUUGGAUAUAAAUUAACAUAUAGAGCAAAUUGCACUUACCUCCCUUGAGGUUUUAUUAAAAAACAUUGGGAUAAUAAUGUUUUUCACCCUUGUAAUAUAUGUCAUUUCCGGUUUUCGUCCCUAUAAAAUUUUCAGUUUGAUUUGCACCGUCGUAAAAUAUUUAUUUUCCCACUAACUUUUCCGUCUCUUUUCACGGUGCUUAUACUGCUUACCAAAAUCUUUCCCUUCAUCUUCAUCCACAGUUUUUAGAAAUUCUCUAGCACACCAGUUCAAUAAACACAACCAUUUAAUUGUUUUUCCAAUUUUCAGUAUUCCUUCAUCUCUUCAGCUCUCUUUAUCGUGUUUCCUUCACCAUCUCUUCAAAGCUCUACGAAGUUUAGAUGAUCUGAUGCUUUUUUUGAGUUUUGAAACUUCAUAUUUCAUUUAUUUUCUUGUUGUGAUAUUCUUCUUCAAUUUUAUUUUCUGAAUUUAUUGUUCAAGUUCUUCGACAUGGUGCUUAUUAAUUUGGAACAUAAAGUGUUUAUUGAUUUGUCUGAGUCAAAUCUAUUUUUCUUAUCAUCAAGCAAUAGAACUGAAGUUGUAUUUCGAAUCAAUGGAACUUGAGACUAGUAUGUAAUUAAAUAUAUACAUGUAGUGCAUGGUUGUUGUUUCUAUGAUAAUGCAUAAAAGGUGUUUUGAUUUUUCUCAAUCAAACAAGGAACGUCCCUUAUGCAAGUUAAUAGAUACUCCUAACACAAUUUUGUUUGUUAUCCUCACUAAAAAAUAAGCAAAUUAAAGGAACAUCCAUUUUGUUUGUUUUAUCACGACUAAAAAAAUUGGCAAAUUAUACGAGAGUAGCAAUGGUGUGAAGAGAAAAUGUUAGUCAUGUUAACAAUGUUAAGUCAAGGGAGGUAAAUGUCUUUUCCGAACUAGAGGGAGUGUGAGUGUCUUUUUUUUGUUGUUGUGGUGGUUAGGGUUCGAACCCCCAAACCUUGCAUAUAUUAUGCAUUGUCCUUACCAACUGAGCUAAGCUCACGAGGACGGAGUGAGUGUCUUUUAAUAAAACCUAAGGGCAGGUGAGUGCAAUAUGCUCUAAAAUAUACGUUAAAAAAUUUAAAACAUGCCUUUUUUUUAUGUAUUUUGUACAAUGAAUAUAUUUUAUAUGAGGUGUGUUAUUUGAACAACCAUUUGAUUAACAACUUAUUGAAAAACCAUAGAUUUACAAAGAAAAAUCAUGUAUUGACACAAAAAUAAAAGCAAUAGAGAUAAAGUAAACAUAUAAUGUAAGUAUGAGAAAGAAAUUUGUCACAAAAAUUAUGACAAAAUGGUUGUACAAAUACAUUUCUGUUUUAUAUCUAUAAGUAUAUUAAACAAUAAAAUAUAGUGUGUCUUGAUUUGUAUAUGUUCCUACAAUAGUUUAUUUGCUUGAUUUUGCAAUAAGGUCAGUACACGGUUUCUGUGUGGUCCGAUUUCAGAUUGCAAAACAGUUUAUGAGGCAUAUUUGACUUUUUACUCUUUAUUUCAAUGUUUUUCCUGUUCGAAAUUGACAUUAUUAAGCGUGAAGUAUCAGUACAAAACAUGUCACUUGUUCGAAAUUGAAAUUUUUAGUUUCUUAUAAAAAUAAAUCGGGACAUUCCUAAAAAUUGAAAAUAAAUUGGAACAAAUUUUUUUUAAGGAAAAUAAAAUGGUAUUAGACUUUCUAUUGGACAAUUUUGAACCAUAAUAUUGCUAAUGUGGCGCUCCACCUGUCGUGUGGUUAAAAUAAACCAAAAGGUCAUUUAAGACUUUCAAUGCAAAAGUUAUACUUUCGUUUACUUAAACAAUACCUCAAUCACACUUGUUAACAUUUCUUUUCUUUUUUUAUACAAAUAUCCUCUCCAUACAUAAUACCUUACUUUUUUGAAUAGGUCAGGAGGUAGAACAGAGACAAUUUUGAAAUUCCAAAUAGGUUGACACCCUAAAAGACCCUUAUCCUAUACGGCCUAUCUAAGAAAAUUUUUAUUGAAAAAAAAGGAAAACACAAAAGCCAAACACAAAAGAAAAAUUCAAUUCACCAUUGAAAAGUUCUAUAACUUUCCAUCACCUCCUCCUUUUUCACCACCUCCUUUUCCUUCAACGGGAAGGGGUAUUUUGUAUCCACCACCGCUCCCUUUUCCACCUUUACCACCCUUUCCACCGCGACCCCACCACCAACUUGUUCCCCAACCUGGCCCCUUCUUCCAUGUAUUGUCGACAUACCCUUUUCCACAAUGACCCUCUAUUCCAUCAACAAACCCAUCAAUGUUUUUCCCUUUUUUGCCAUUCCAGAUUGCACCUAAGCCCGACCAGUAUGCACAACAAUCAACUCCAAUGUUAGUAUUUGAUUUUUCUACUUCCCAAUUUGAAAAUAAAUAUUUUUUAGGCGUAAAUAUGUCAUUGAUCCCUGCUCUUUCACCAUAUUUUGGCAUUGGUCCCUGUACUUUUAAAAGUUUUACUAUUGGUCCUUUUGUUAAGUCCAAGUUAAAAAAAAAACCGACGAUGCACCACUAUGGGGACCUAAGUGCCAUUUUCCGCAUUUAUUACUCGCACUUUAACUAUGAAGGACAAUAAAAACAUCACGAUUGGAAUAAAACUAUGGUCCAAAAUUUUUCAAAUCAACUCAUCAAAUAAUAUGAAUCGUAGUAUUUAGCCAAAUAAAAAACAUUCAUAUUAUCCCCCAAAAAUUGUACGCCAGCAUGAGGGAGUGGUUACUGUGUUAAAUUGUUUUUAGAUUUAGGCUUAAAUAGCUAAAUAAAUUAAUUAAUUAUACACCAAAAAUACAUAAAUUAUUUAUCAUAUUUGGGUUGCUGGCCUGAGUAGUGUAGUACCUUACCCGUGCCCUUACCCAUUUAAAUUUACGAGUAAUUAUCUAGACCCAAGCCCGGACCCAUGAAAGUGGGGUUUUAUCCUACCCAUUGCAAGUAUUUUUUGCAGUUAUCCAUCGAGUCUAGGUCCAAUUGCCAUCCCUAGUGCCACGUGGAACAAUCAUCCACACCACAUGGCACACCAAAAGACAAAAAAAAAAUCAACUUUUUAUCUAUUAUUUUAUUCAUUAUUUUUUGAUUUAAACAUAUCAUGUCCCUGCACUUUCGGUACUUUUUGAUAUUAAUCCCUGUACUUUUCGAUAAAAAUCAUUUUUGUUCAUUAAAAAAUUAAAGCUUUUUAUUAAGAAAAAUUUAAAAAAAUAGAAAAAUAAAAGAAAAACAUAAAAUUAAAUCUUUUAAAGGAUAAUUUAAAAAAUCUUUUUAUCUCGUUAAAGAAACAUAAUCCUGUGGACCAAUUAUUUUUUAAAAGAAUAAUUAUAAAAUCAUUUUUGUUCAUUUAAAAAGGAUUUUUUUUUAAUUUUAUUUCUUUAUAAUUAUUCUCAAUAAAAAUAAUGAACAGGAUGAUAAUAAAAUAUAAUAAUAUUAUUUAAAGUUUUUCAAAAAAUGCAAGGACCAAUAAUAAAAAGUACUGAAAGUGCAAAGACUAAUGCUAUUUUGAAACUAGAUCAAAUUUCAACCAAAAGUAAGUUUCAAUCGCCCCCUUGCAAUAUUGUACCUCUGCCCAGUUUGCAUAUCCAUGUACCCCAAUAUUUAUCUUUGAUUUUUUUGUUUCACCAGCUACAAAUAUAAAAGACUUCUUAUUAAAUAUAAAAGAAUAAAACAACUGUGCAUAUAUGAAAACUACUAUAUACAUAUACAUUUUUUUUGAAGGAAUAUAUAUGUACAUACAUUGUUUACCUUCGGAAGGCAUAAUUGCCACAAGAAAUAUGAGAAGUAAUGCAUAGAAGCACACAGAGACAAACAACUUGGUUUUCAUCCUUAUUUCAACAAAUUGAAAGUAUCUUGUGAGAUAUGAUGAACACAAUAAAAAACUAUAUAUAUAAUGACCAUGAGACACUAACUAUAAGUCAAAAACUAUAUAUAAUGAUCAUGAGACGCUAACUAUAAGAGGUCCAGAAAGAAUACGAGUAGAUAAAAUACAUUGUACAACAAAAAAAGAAGAUAAUAUAUCUUGAUCAACAAAAAAAUAUAGAAUAUAAUAUUUUGUUAACUAAUUGCAAGGAUAAUUGGUUAUCAGCAUCUAUUGAGUAAUGAAAGGUUAAAUUGGGGAAUGUUUGUUAACCAAAGUAAGCAAGAUUGAGACAAUGACAAAUAGCAAACCACAGUGGCAACAAAUUCUCAUAUUUUUUUUAGAAAAAUGAUAAUCAUUGCGAAGAACAAAUUGUUGUUUAUUCCAUAUGAUUUAUACCAUGCCAUAUUUUUAAGAAAUUGAUAUAAUAUAUAACCAUUUAUUUUUAUUUCUUAAAUUGAAUAUUAAUAUACCACAAGUAGAACUCUCAAAAUGGUUUAGACCCACCACACCUCUAUUUUAGGGUACUAAAAAAAUUAGUUUGUAAAAUAGUUUUAUCAUGUAUGGUUGAAUUUUACUAUCUCCGAGAUUCACUUUGUGAGUUGUGUAAAUACUCUCUACUUUUGUAUUGAUGUUUUUGUGUUAUUUAUCCGUUAUAGAUGUUGAUUUAAUAGAUGUUUUAAAUAAAAUUUAACUAAGUUUAUGAAAACAUGUGAUUUAUUUGAUGAAUAAUAAUUUAUGUAAUAUGUUUCUAUUAAAAAAAUAUAUGAUAUGUAGCUUUAUUGUUUAUUACAUCUAUUUUUUUUUUUGAAAAAAAAAUACAUUUUGAAAUACGAGUUAGGCUGACCCAUUGGACCGUGUAGCUCACUACAAAUUGGAUUGGGCUCAAUUUUGGUGCACAUCAAUCAAGUGGACAGACCCACUCCAAUACCGAACCAAGGCGAGUUGGGCUGGACUGGCCUAUUUGACAGCUCUACCCACAAGCAACCAACAAACAAGCUAAUAUAUCUAGUCUUUUUGGUCGAACCUUAGGCUUUAUUUAGACAGAGCGAAGUGAGAAUGAGUUUACUCUUAAGAGAAAUGCUAGAGGCACUAUCUUUUCAACACUCACUUUCUAAUUGGCUUAAACCAAUGUGUGACCCACCACUUUAAGUGGAACCCAUUUUAAAGUGUAAGACCCACCAUGAUUUAAGCCAAUUAAAAAGUGAGUGUUGGAGAGAAUGUUGAAAAGAGUGUCCUAAAGAGCCAACACUAACAUGGGCAAAUUAAGUUCAUAUGAUCUUAUUUGAUCGUCUAAUAAGCUCUCUUAAUAUUAACCACAUAAAUGAAUUCAACUCUUUCUUUUUUGGUUUCAAGAGUGUAACGACAAAAUUCACACGCACUAAAUACAUUGAAAAAAAUGGUGAAAAAGCAAAAGUUUGUUACUGCUCAAUUGGUUUACUCUUUUAGAGAAAUGUUUUUUUUCUUUUUCUUUCAAUCCAACCUACAUGGCUUCGCAGUUCAAUAACUCUGAGGUAAUGAAGUAAAUUACACAUGAGGUAAUGGAGUCAACUUAAUUUACAAUAUAGCUUAACCACUUAUAAUAUAAGCGCUUAUGAAUAAAAUGAUAAAAUAAAGUCAAUUUGUUUUUUGUAUAAGUUAUAAGUUGCUUUCGUAAGCUAUCUUGGAGAAUUUAUGUAAAUAAGCUGAAAACAACUUAACAAGAUGUAAUAAGUUUAUUUAAGUUUUCUCAAACAAUCUCACCAGUGCUUAUGCCAAUAGAUAAGCUAAAAUAAGACAAUCCAAACAUCUUCUUAGUAUGUUUAUUAUUUUGGAAUAUUUGUUAACCACAUCCCGAAUUUUCCUUUAAAAAAAAAAAAAAAAAAAAAACCACAAUCCGAAUAUUUUAGGAUGUUGGACGCCUUCAUGCUAGACAUAUCAGUACAGUAUCCUCACUUGAUAUUGGUAAAUGAGAGAGACUCUAGAACAUAUAUUUUGGUCAAAUUUAUUUAGAAAUAAUCUUUGAUCAGCAAUUAUUUUGUUCAACACUUCCAAUUCGUUCUAAUUGCUUAAAUGGUUAGAAAUUGUAUUUUCUAUAAUUUAUAUUUUUAUCGUUUUGGAAUGCAAUGAAGAGCAUUUUUUUUUUUUUAAAAUAAAUCAAUCAAUUUCCUGUGGAUUUACCUGCAGUUUGUUGUUUACUUUGAUAUUGUUUCCUGCGGAUUCUCCUGAGUCGUUUUCUGCCGAAAUACCUGCGAGUUUGUUCGCAAGAAAGUGCUAACGGGCAGGACACUUCCCAAACACUUACCUAAUACUUCAUGCGGAUAUACUUUUUCUGUGGAUCCUAAAAUCCUUGAUAAAAUCCGCAGGAAAAGGAUUAUAUGCGGAAUUGUCAUCAAAAUCCGCAGGUAAUUCUGUAGGAAAAUCAAGACUCUCUAGUAGUGGUAAUAUACUCACUUAAUAUGGGACGGACAUAACUGCCACAACAAAGAUGAGAAGUAGUGCAUUGAAGCACCCAGAGAUAACACAACUUGGUUUUCAACCUUGUUACAACACUGCAGUCAGAUUUCCUUAAAAAAAAAACACUGCAGUCAGAUGCCAUUACAUUAAUAUCAUGCCAUUAAUUACUUGGAUAUAAAUUAAAUAUAUGUUAAAAAAAUUAAGAACAUGCCUUUUUUAUGUAUUUUGUUGUACGAUAAAUAUAUUUUAUAUCUAUAAAUACAUUAAACAAUAACAUAUAGUGUGUCUUGAUUUGUAUAUGUUCCUACAAUAGUUUAUUUGCUUGAUUUUGCAAUAAGGUCAGUACAUGGUUUCUGUGUGGUUUACCGACCCACUGCCUACAGUAAUUAACAUAUGUAAAGAAGGUAAAAGUGUCCGAUUUCAGAUUGCAAAACAAUUUAUGAGGCAUAUUUGACCUUUUACUCUUUAUUUCUAAUACAAAUGAAAUUUUAAGCAAGAAUGUAACUUAUUAUUCCUUAUUCAAUCAAGAAGAAAGUUGUAGUCUAAUACUUCAAUUAUGUGUGGUGCAUAUUAUUGCUUCAUGCUAUAACUAAAGGUUGAUGCUUUGUGUUACAUUUCUUACAACAUUGAAUACUGUAUCAACAUGUAAUACAUCUUACAUGUAAAUGUACUAGUUUUGUAUGGACUACACUUUCCUACACUUGACUUAUAUCCCACAUUUCUCUAUUCAUUGCCGCCCGCAUUUCCACUGGAUCCUCCCAAAUUUCCACGUCCACCCCCUUUUCCACCGCCUGGAAAGUGAACGACGUUUCCUCCGCCACCUUUGUGUCCAACAGCAGGAGAGUUUACCGCAUUUCCCAUGACGGGAAAGUGUACGAUGUUUCCAUUGUCCUCCUCUUUUUGACUGUCAAGAAAGUUUAUGACAUUUCCACCAACACACUCGUUUGUGUUUCUAUCGCCGCCUUGCAAUACGGUACCUCUGCCUAGCCAGUUUGCGUAUCCAUGUACUACAAUAUUUAUCUUUGGUUUUUCUGUUUCACAAGCUGCAAAUAUAAAAGACUUCUUAUUAAAUAUAAAAGAAUAAACACAAUAUAAUUGUGCAUAUAUGUAAACUAUUUUAUAUAUAUAUACAUUGUUUCCCUUCGGAAGGCAUAAUUGCCGUAACAAAGAUGAGUAGUGCAUAGAAGCACAAAGAGAUAAACAACUUGGUUUUCAUCCUUGUUACAACAAAUUAAGAGUAUCUUGUGAGAUAUGAUGAAUACGAUAAAAAAAACUAUAUAUAUAUAAUGAUAAUGAGACACUAACUAUAAGAGGAACAAAAAAAAAAGAAUACAUUGUACCGUAAAAAAAAGAUAAUAUAUCUUGAUCACCACAAAAUGUAGAAUAUAAUAUUUUGCUAGCUAAUUGCGAGGAUAAUAGGUCAUCAACAACUAUUGAGACAUGAAAGGUUAAAUUGGGGAAUGUUUGUUAACCAUAGUAAGCAAGAUUUCAGGCAAUGGCAACCAAUUCUCAUUUCUUUAGAAAACAUAUAAUCAUUGUGAAGAACAAAUUGUUGUUUAUUCCAUAUGAUCUAUACCAUGCCAUAUUUUUAAGAAAUUGAUAUAAUAUGUUACCACUUAUUUUCAUUUCUUAAAUUGAAUAUUAAUAUACCACAAGCAACCAACAAACAAGCUAAUAGAUCUAGUCUUUUUUGGUCGAACCUUAGGCUUUAUUUAGACCGCGUGAAGUGAGAAUGAGUUUACUCUAACAUGGCACGUUGGAAACUAUACUCUUCACGUACAUGUUAACUUGUGUGAGUUUACAUUAUCUCAUAACGAGCCACCACUGACAUGGACAAAUUAAGUUCAUAUGAUCUUAUUUGACCGUCUAAUGAGCUCUCUUGGUAUUAACCAUAUAAUUGAAUUCAACUCUUUCUUUUUUGGUUUUAAGAGCCCAACAAAUUCACACCCACUAAAUACAUAGAAUUAUGAGCUCGAACCCUCAACUUAUAAUAUUAAACUAAAAUAUUAUGAAACACUAUGACGCUUUCCAUGAGCACCAAUUGCCAUUUGUAUUCGUGUGAUAGUAUCUUUUUCUUGAAAAAGAAAACUGGGUGUUAAUGUUUAAAUGACAAUAUCAAGUAUUGAAGGGGAAAAGUGUCAAAAAAAAUCACUGAAAAAGUUAAAAAGAGAAAGUUGCUCUUGGUGACAUUUUAGAAAGAACAUUCUCAUUCAUUCUUUCAUUUAUAAAAUCGUGCACAAAUAAGUUUCACCAUUAGAUCAAUACUCCUUCCGUUCUUAAAUAUAAAUAUAAAUAAAUUUGAUUUUUUAGGUUCAUUCAAUUAAUGAUAUAUGUGGUUCAUAUUAUGUACCACAUACAUCAUUAAUUGAAUGAACUUAAAAAAUUAAAUUUGCUUAUAUUUAAGAAUAGAGUGAGUAGAUCCAUUUGAAUCAAAUUAAAUGAGAUAUGAUGUGUCUUAUUGAUCCAAUAAUAAAAACAAAAAUGUGCAUAUAUAAUGUAAGAUUAUUUUACCUUUUAGUCAAUAGACAAAGUCUAUAACAAAAGAUACUUAUAUUUUGAAUUUUUCUAGUGAUUGGCAUAACUUUUGCCUAAAAGGAGAAGACAAAUAAAUAUUAAGCUUGGCCAAACAUACUUGUAAAGCAUAAAGAACCCCAUAGUGAAUAUACUAACAUAUUAUUCAUUCCUACAUGUUCUAUAAAAUAUGUUUUUGUUAAUCCUAAAUGAUAUAUUAAUAGAGUAGUGCACCCUAUUGCGAUAUUAACAAAAAACUAAAUUUAAAUUGUUAGGAAUAAUAGAAGAAGAGAGUUAUUCUAUCAUGACAAAAAUUAUUGAUCUGAAAGCAAAUUUUGAUGGAUCUUCCAUGCACCCAAUAUCUAGUUUGCUAUCGUCAGAAGAACGGUGGAGUCACACAAACAAUCACAAUGCAAAAAAAAAAAAAAAAAAGAAACUAAAUUGAUGAAGAUAUAAAUGGUAGUUUAUUUUAUAAUAAUAUAAAAGAGACUAAAAACUACACUAAAAUUAUUAUAAUAACAAACUAAUUUCUUCAUUCAUUUCUUUGUCUCGGGACUAAUAAAACAGUGCAAAAUUUUGAUUAAAUUGUGGCAUUUGCGUCUUAUGGUUAAAUUGGUUAUCAUGAAACAAAAAUCCUUGGGACAUAUCAGUAGAUGUCACCAAAGGAAGUGACGCAGUUGCAUCUUGUACGUUAUUAUCCAAAAUGUCAUUUCCUUGGGAAGAAAAACUAUCUUCUACGUCAACAUUUGUUAGAACAGAAUUGACGUCGAAUCCAUUGCGGUACUAGCAACACCGAAACAAGUGCCUGCAUAACUAGACAAUUUCUCUGCACAAUUUGUUCUACUUUUAUUAGAAGUGUCGUUGGAUUUACUCAGAUUAUCCCUUCUUAACAGCAUACAUCCCAUUCUUAAAGUACCUGCAACAUGGUACGUUGGAGGCUGUUACAGAAGGGUUUGAUUUUUAGACGAUUUCAGAGUAUAGACGGCACCCAGGAACCGAGGAACAAACAUUGGAUCUCACACCAACUCAUAGUUGGUUCUGAUUUAUGUAUGUUCUAUUAUUUCUAUGUUAUUAAUUGUUUUGGUUAUGAGUAGCUUAGCUUUUAGAUUCACUAAGCAAUGAGAUGAAUAUGUUGCAAUCAAUGAACAUAUAAUUUGUUAAGAACUCUCUUCCACAUCUAAUCUUUAUUUAAAAUUGUUUGUGUUUAAUGAUUUUCAUAUAAUUGUGUAUGACUACUAGCUCUACCUUUUCAGUUGUAUGAAUUGAUCUUAGACUUUAAUUGACUACUAGUCAUAGCUGUUAAAUCUAAACUAAUGAUUCUGUUUAACUUUACAUAUUAAGAUAGAGAUAGAAAAUUGUGAGUUAUGACUUAGGGAUUAACAAACUAAAGAUUGCUUCCGCAAUUAGGAAUGGACUUAAGAGGUUAUAACUUAGGAAAUAGUUUUGAGUCAAAAGAUUGAUCAAAACUAUUAGGUUAAUCCGUCGUAAAGUUAGGUGAACAUUGAGAGAGAAGAGGAGCAAAUUAUUCACAGUGCGCAACAGAGGAUUCGAAAGUUUGUUCAUCUGUUUUAAUCUAAUUUUCAAACCAAUUUAAUUACCGUGUAAUAAGUUUAAUGCAACCGAUCCAACUGCCUAGUGCAACCACCCAAUUUAACAUAUCCUUUAAGUUAACAAAAUUGUUGAGUAGAAAUUAACAACGGUCCUCGUGGAUGCAAAUUUUAUUAUUACUUCGAUAGAUUAGGUACACUUGUCAAAUCAAAUCAAUUCAUCGUCGAGAAUUAAAUAGUAUAACAUAGGAAGAUCUUUUAUCCAUACCAAAAAAAAAAAAAAAUUACUUUCUGAUGCAAUGAAAAUUUCCUUUUUCUUUCAACCUUUACCUUAAACUAAAAAAGAAAAAAGGAAUCCCUGUUAGAAAAGAAAUGAGAUUUUUUUUUUCUUUUUUAUUUCCUUUCACAUACGAAAUCAAUUGAUAUUUUUUGGAUCUGUAUCCAUCGGGACUGACGGGACUCGAACCCGCAGCUUCCGCCUUGACAGGGCGGUGCUCUGACCAAUUGAACUACAAUCCCAGGGAAAAAGUUGUAUAGCAUACAUAUUCUUACUAUUUCAUUCAAACCCUUUGUUUUUCUAUUUUAGAUUCGAACCCCUGUACUGUAACUGAAAGAGGCAGACUUAUAUAUUGAUAUUUUUAUGGGUCUGCACUUUAGCGAGAUCGACACGGAUUAUUCGCAAUCCGUUCCUUAUUGCUAACUUGAUUGAAAAAUCAAUGAAUCAAGGAAACAAAAAAGACUCUUUUUUUACUUGAAUGCUUUCCUAAGACUUUAUAUUUUAAAAUCCCGAUAGGAAUUUUUCAAUAAAUAGCACUCGAGAUUUUAUUCUUCUGUAUGGGAGCCCAUUGGUGAUUUUCAGAGAACACCAAAUGGGUUAUAUCAUUGCAUGGUGGAUCAGUAAAUUUUUGGGCCGAGCUGGAUUUGAACCAGCGUAGACAUAUUGCCAACGAAUUUACAGUCCGUCCCCAUUAACGGCAUCGACCCAGGAAGAAUCAAUUUUAGUCUUUAUUGAUAAUCCUUGAUCAAUUUCCUUUUGUAGUACCCUACCCCCAGGGGAAGUCGAAUCCCCGUUGCCUCCUUGAAAGAGAGAUGUCCUAAACCACUAGACGAUGGGGGCAUACUUGCCCGACCUCAAUUCUACUAUGUUCAUACAUAGUAUGAACAGUUUUUUGAAAUUGUCAAUAUAAUGAUAUGAUUCGAUCAGAAGGAUCUUUUAGAAUUCCUUAAAAUUUAGAUUUCGAAAUUGUUCAUUCCAAUCACCAAUCUAUAAAACUAUAAAAAAAAAAAUAAUCUACUCUUAAAAAAAGAAUGUGAAAGAAAACAAAAGAAAGAGAGAAUCCUUUCAGGGAAUGAUUGAUUUUCUGGAACAGGCACGGCAUUAACACCUCAUUUCUUUCACUUUCAUUCAGUGUUAAGAAGAUUGAAUUAGUGGGUACAUGUAUCAAUGAAAUGAAUUUUGUGUUAUGAUGAAGAUGAUUUCAAUUCGAAUCGGUUUUGAAAAAAUCCAUUCCAUUGAUAUUUUUCAAAUCCAAUAUCAAAAAAUCCUUUUUUUAACUAUACUUACUAGGUAAAUCCAAUUUAUUGUUCGUUAAAAAGUUGCUAUGUAAAAAAAAAAGAUCUAUUCUAUAUAUAUAAUUUAAUAUAUAAUUUAUAUAUAAUUUGAGUAUAUGCAGUAACAAAUAGAUGUACUAAACUCAUAUCCAUAUUGGAUGGUUCCUUAUUCGGGAAUUGACUCAAAUGGAGCCCCUUUAACUCAGUGGUAGAGUAACGCCAUGGUAAGGCGUAAGUCAUCGGUUCAAAUCCGAUAAGGGGCUUUUUUGUCAAAAAAUGACAACAGUAGUAUUCCGAUUUGAAGGAAGAAUAGAGAUAUUCUUGAUAUUUGUAAGAAGUUUCUCUUUGUAAAAAAAACUAUACCUAUCAAGUUUUUUGCGCCGUUGUUGGGGACGGUUGAAUCAUUUCGACUUGACAAUUUUGUUAUUAUUUAGGAUUCAUGUCAGUUACAUUUUUUGUAUUUAUAUAUUGAAGAAAAAAGUAUGAUUUAUGCUCUUCAUGUCUAUUAUAUCAUUCUUUGCUACUAAAAAAUAUAUACAAGUUUUCUAGCAAUGAUAGACAUGAUCCAUCUAGGUGAUACAUAAUAGGUUUUUAUGGGGAAAAUCAUCAUAAUGGAUAUUGUGAAGGGAAGAAAGAGGUGAUCUACAUCGAUUACAACUCUCAACUUUAAAAUAUUUUAGAUGAAUUCUUGAGGUUAAAUCGAGUUUCAUUUGAUAAAACUGAAGUUCAGUGUGGUGGUUUUGUUGAGAAAGUAAAUGAACAUGAGAAGAAGUUUGUUGAGAUAAAGACCGAGUGUCAUGCUAUUGUGGUGGAAGAAAAUCCGCAAGUAAGGAGUGUUGGUCUCUACCUGAAGUCUCAUUCAAUGGGGUUAAGGGAAACCAUUCAAGUGCAAAGGGAUACAUAUUCCUCUCUAUGGUGGGAAAGCUCAAAUGACAAAGGUUUAGCAGUUAGAGCAUGGAAGCAUUUGUUGAUUUGCAUGAAGUUCAUGGAAUUUCUACCAAACAACAGGAAGAAGAAGGAUGAUGCGUUCUUUAUGUCAUACAUGCCACCCUAAAAAUGGUUAAGACGUCAAGCUUAAUGACAAAAAAUAAAGCGCUUGAUGGGAGGCAACCCAUCAUAUUUCUAAUAUUUGUUAUUUGGAUGUUCUUUUUUUUAUUUUGAGUCGUAUGUUAGACAUUGUGUGACCGUGUCAGUGUUAUGUUCUAUUGUAUUCCUGUUAUGUACUGCACAACUUUGUUUAUUAUUAAAGAAUUUGCUUGUUUUUUUGGAAAUCUAUCAGUCUCAUAACAGAUGCUUAUACCAAUGAUAUUUCAAAAGAGGGGUGAUGCCGCAUGGAACUUCAACAUGAAGUGUACGGCAAUUGGAAGUUAGGAAGCCACAAAUCCCAGAAAAUUUAACUUGUAAGGUCCAUAGCCAAAUUUUAUUUUUUCAAUUUUACAUAUAUGAGUGUUUCAUGCACCUAUCAUUUCUAAAACUUUCGAUGUUUCUCUAUUUUGUUGAUUGGUCUUGUUUUGUACACACUAAGGUAAAAUGCUUUUUUACCUAAAGACUCUUUUAGCCCACCUUGAAUUUUAUGUUUAUAUUUAUCUUUUGUAAAGCAAAAUUGAGCCUUUAGGAUUAUACCUCAUUGUUCGGUGACUAACCACAUUACAAACCUAGAACUAGAAGACCUUAAGUGUGAAUGACCCUAAUUUUUUUUUGGAGUUAAGCUUUUUAGGUUGUGUGUAAUGUUUAAGUUUGGGAUUCCUGUUGGAACUACCAACAUUCAAUGUUUGGGGUAGGGGUACUAGAGAACCUAAGAGAUGGAAAAUGUCUCUUGAUAAUUGGGGGGGAGGGGGGAUUUGGUAUUGAUUAUUUUUCUCACUGACAGCAAAGUAGAAUGAGCUUAACUCCAUUGUUUGUUUAACACUACUUUCCCAAAAAUAUCCCAAGUUACCUACUUAAGCCCCAUUAUAACCCAAAAAGUCCUUAAAAGGGUGUACUUGACAAUGAUUUUGAUUGACAGUUUAGAAAUGUUUCAAACCUAUCAUAAUAUGGUAGACCUGCAUGUCGAAUGUGAGAACUCUUUUCAAAUUUGUGCCAGGAGUUGUGGAUAAGGAGGAUCGAGCAAGGCAUACAAUACAUAAUUACACCGAUCAGGAGUGAAUUUUUGAUAAUACCAUUGGUUGGUAAGAUAUUAUAUUACUGUUAUUUUCUAAUUUAUAAGUAGAUUCCUUGAGAACUAGGAAUGAUGCAGGUUUUAGGUUGUGACGAUAUUAGGUCAUACUCAUGUUUUUAGUUUGUUUUUAUUCCUUUUUUAGUAAGUUAGAACGUCUUUUUCAUGAAUUGCAUGAUGAAACAAGCUGAUAGUUGUCAAAAGUGUUAAGAGGUCAUAUGGCUAUGAAAUGGGCAAGUUUUGCACAAUUUUGAGAAGAUUUUGGAAGCUUUAGCUACUAGAAAAAUCGUGCCACGAUACAGGUCCAUCGUGGCACGUCUGAAGGAGCAUUAGGAUCUGGAGUUUGUUAAUUCCCCGAGGACCAUUGUUAAUUUGUACUCAACAAUUUCGUUGACUUAAAAAAUAUGUUAAAUUGGGGGGUCGCCCUAAGUAGUUGGAUUGGUUGCAUAAAACUUAUAACACAGUAAUUAAAUUGGUUUGAAAAUUAGAUUAAAAACAGAUGAUCAAGCCUUCGAAUCCUCAAGUGUGCAUUGUGAAUAAUUUUCUCAUCUUCUCUCUCAAUGUUCACCUAGCUUUACGAUGAUUUAACCUAAUAGUUUUGAUAAAUCUCUUGACUCAAAACCCUUUCCUAAGUUAUAAUCUCUUAAUCUCUUAAGUCGAUUCGUAACCGCAGAAGCAUACAUUAGUUCGUUAAUCCCUAAGUCAUAACUCACAAAUUUUCUAUCUCUAGCUUAAUAUGUAUAGUUAAAUAGAAUCAUUAGUUCAGAUGUAACAACUAUGGCUAGUUGUCAAUUAAAUUCUAAGAUCAAUUCAUACAACUCAAAUUUUCUUCUUUUGCGUUAGCUUAUAUAGCUCCCUUUCUCAACCCAAUGUCCCCUACUACAAGUUAAUCACGUCAUCUCCUAUUGUUUCCUCCAAUUACGUUAUUCCUUCGUGUACAUGUGUCAUAUGGUUUCUUGUUGUGGCGCCACAUGAACAAAAAGGGCAAUACAUUGACCAAUGAGAAUGCACUUCUGUUAUGUAUAACAAUUGAGAAAGAGGCCUCACGUUACUUCUAUGUUGGAAAAAAUGAAAUACAUGUCCAUUAUGAAACGUGAGUUAACUCACGUUAGAUAGACAUCAAACUGCACUUAACUCGCGUUGGCUCAACGUGACUUAAAUCACGUUGAUGGUAUCCAUAACUUAUGUUGGGGUUAUUUUAGACAGUUUAAGGAGGGAAUGAGCAAAUAUGAUGGGGAGAUGAGCAAUUUUCAGAAUAGGAAACUAUACUUCAAAGCCCAUGUUGGAAAACAUAAGUAUAUGACUAUCGGGUCAAAUAUUCUCCAAGCCCAAAACUUUUAUAUUGGUAAUACACAGCCCUAAUCUCAUAAUAGUGUGUGCCACUACAUUAUCUCCAAUCUCACCUAUACGAUGUACUGUAUUCUGUAUCUUCAUUCCUCACCUUUGAAAUUUAAUCCAAUUUCUACUAGCAAAAGAUCAAAGAAUAAGAGAGAAAUAAGAAUGUUUCUACUUUCUAUUUUUAUUUCUCUACUAUCUUCAAACUUAGAAGAAUGAAGAUGAAAUCUAGGUACCUUCGCUCAUGUCAAAGGACAUUGAUUUCUUUUCUUAUUUUUUCUUAAAAAUUAAAAUGCGAUCCAACCCAUAGAAACGACUAAACCAUCGGUUUUUUGAUUUUUUCCCUAUUGUUGACCGGUUCUUAUACUUGACAGUUUUUAGUACUGAUCAUACUGGAUAUAGGUCCGGUUUCUGGUCCAAUCUAUUGAACAUGUCGGUCCAGUUCGGUUUUAACUACCUUACUAAUAAUAUAUCAAAAUAACUAUUAUAAAAUAAAUAGUUAAAUAGAACAAUAAAUUGUACCAAAAAAUAGGACAACUGAAAGAAGUAAUUAAAUAUAAAUAUGCAAACACUUAUUAUUGACCUAAUACACACGAAAACAUCACAAUAAUUAACUAAUAUAAUAACUAGUGAUUUACUUUACAUUUAUAACAACAUUAAUAUAGUGUGGCAUGGAUACAUCAAUCACACACAAACACAUACUGAUACUACGAAUAUACUAGUCUAAUUUUCCAUGGAGACUUUCCGUACACUUGACUGGUGUCCCUAACUACCCCCAUUUCUACUACUGUAAAAAUAUUUUAUACCAUUUCCACCACCACCCUUUUUCCAUUAUUGGUCUCCUUUCCACCCAUCGAAAAGUUCUAUAACUUUUCAUCUCCGCCUCAUUUUCCACCACCUCCUUUUCCUACUCCGGGAAUGGGUAUUCUGUAUCCACCACCUCCCCCUUUUCCACCUUUUCCACUGCCGCCCCCUUUUCGACCGGUAGUCUGCCAUCCUGUGCCCUUAGUAAUACUAAUAUCCUUAUCCCAUAUUGUUCCAUCGACAUACCCUUUUCUACAAUGAAUCUCUAUUCCAUCACCACAACCGUCAUUGCUUUUCCCUUCGUUGCCCUUCAAAAUUGCACCUAAGCAAGACCAGUAUGCACAACAAUAGUUAGUAUUUGAUUUUUCUAUUUCCCAAACUGAAAAUAAAUAUAUAUAUAUAUAUAUAUAUAUAUAUAUAUAUAUAUAUAUAUAAAGAAAACUACAACUUUCAACACUUUUGAACUGACUUUUUUCUUUUUAAAAAUACCCUCAACUUUCAAUACAAAUAACACACAUAACAAAUAUAUAACAAUAAAUUAGAUGUUAAAAAAUGUGACAAACAUGUUAUGAAUAUCUGUAUGUAUCUGGUUUUUUUCCUUUAUCAUUUAAAAAGUUUAACAAACUAGAUAAAUAAAAUUAUACUCACUUUUCAUUAUCCCAAUUAUACCCUUAAACAACUUUUUCUAUAAUAAAUAAAGAUUGUUGUUGGUGUCAUUAAAAAAAAAUAGAUUAUCUUUUUUUUAUAUAUUGUUGGUGUCAUUUAACUAAAUAAUCAUAGUUAGUUUGGUUUGUUAUUACUUGAAAGUAACAAACAUUUAUAUUUUUAGUUUUAAUAUAAAUCAAAAUUUCAUUCAAAAAAUACCGUUCAUAAUUUUCAAACGUUGGCGUUACCUGUCUUUCCGCUAGAUAGAUAUAAACAAAAGAAAAUAUUUCCACCACCACACUCAUUUGUGUUUCUAUCACCUUCUUGCAAUAGUGUGCCUUUACCUAGCCAGUUUGCAUAUUCAUGUACCCCAAUAUUUAUCUUUGAUUUUUUUUGUUUCACCAGCUACAAAUAUAAAAGACUUCUAGUUAGAUACUCCUUCCGUUUCAUAUGAACCACAUACAUCAUUAAAUGAAUGAACUUAAAAAGUGAAUUUUGCUUAUAUUUAAAAACGGAGGGAGUAUAAGAGUAAUGCUAUCAACACUAUCUUUUGAACACUCUCUCUAAUACACUUAUUUUUUUUAUUGGUUUAAAUCAUUGUGGGUCUACACUUUGGAAAUUGAACAUACACAAAAUUAUGGGACAUACAUUAAUUUCAUCAAAUAAAAUAAUGAGUGCUAAAAUGAGUGUUGAAAGUAAGUGUUACUAGUAGUAUUUCUCUAGAUAUAAAAGAAUAAAAGCAUUGUGCAUAUAUGAAAACUAUUUUAUAUAUAUAUAUACAUUGUUUACCUUCGGAAAGCAUAAUUGCCACAAGAAAUAUGAGAAGUAGUGCAUAGAAGCACGCAGAGACAAACAACUUGGUUUUCAUGCUUAUUACGACAAAUUAAGAGUAUCUUAUGAGAUAUGAUGAACACAAUCAAAAUCUAUAUAUAUAUAAUGAUCAUGAGACACUAACUAUAAGCAACAAAUAAUAUAUAAUGAUCAUGAGACACUAAAUAUAAGAGGACCAAAAAGAACAUUAUUAGAUAGAGUACAUUGUACAGCAAAAAAAAAAGAUAAUAUAUCUUGAUUCUUUGAUAAAAAAAAAUAUAGAAUAUAAUAUUUUGUUAAGUAAUUGCGAGGAUAAUUGGUCAUUAACAAAGUGGACGGUCCCGUCCCGUUUAGGCUCGUCCCGCAUAAGUCUGAUCAAAACGGGAUGAGACGAGACGAUUCAAAUUAGGCGGUCGAGUCUAAAAUUCACCCAGCCCAGUUUAGUGGUGGACAUACGAGUUGGCGGACCGGUCUGUCAAACAAAAAAAAAAUUAGAGGAAAAAACUACAACUUUUUUUAAUGCAUUUUUUUACAACUUAAUUGUAACAAAAAAACUAAGUUGCUUUUAUCACAAAAAAAUAUAAAAGAAUAGACAUCAAAUAAAUUUAUUGUAAAAACAAGAUAAUUAAAAAAAUUGUAACAUAAAACAAAUCCUAAAAUAAAUCCAACAAUCAAAAUAGGGGACUUCUAUGGUACACCCGUAAAUUACGGUGUACCAGUACUCUCGCUUACAAUUUUUAUAAAUUAACUAUCAUUUUUUAUGAAGAAAAUAGGUGUUUGUUGACAUGUAUAUUUUGGAAAAUAUCAUUUUAUAUGAAAGAACAUCAUUUCAUUUUUUAUAAAAAUCAUACUAAUUUUUUUACAUUUUAUGGUAAAAAAAUACUCAAAAUUCUCUAUUAUGAGUAAUAAAAAUUCUGAAAAAUUAAAUUUUAUUGCGUUGACGUUUUUGGUAAAUAAGAUUUAGUUAUUAUAAAUAUAAAUGAUAAAAAAUAAUAUUUUUUCCUCAAAAAACAACUCAUUUAACCAUUAAUUUAAAGAAUGAGUGUACCGGUACACUCAAAUAUAUUGGGUGUACCAUAGAAUUUGCCAUCAAAAUAAAUCAAAAAUGAUAAAAUAAUUCUAAAUAAAAAAAAAAAAGAACAACGAGUUAAGUGGUCUGGCCCGCCCCGCCCUGUUUUUUCAACGAGUUAAGCGGAGCAAGCCAACUAUAUAAAGCGAGUUCAAAAGUUUAACCCAGCCCGUAAAAAAUAGCAGGCUAAACGGGCCGACCCGAUGAUUAGGCCCGUUUUACCACCCUAUAUUUUACGAGUAUUACUUUUUCCACCCUAUGGCCUUCUCGCGCGCCCUAUGCAAAUUACCAACAUGCCCUUCAGAUUAUAUAAUCCGGAUUAUCUAUACGUAUUUCAGAAUAUAGAAUCCGGACAAUUGCGAAGUAUAAAAGGAACUCCCCCCCCCCCCCCCCCCCCCUCCAUUUUUACAGUUUCACUUUCAACAUUCUCUCUCUGUCUUACCAUGAGUUUAAACUCACUUUAUUAAUUUUAAUUAUUUGCAGUGGCGUGGAAAAUUAAAAUGCAUCAGCAACGGAAAGAAGAUAGAAGCAAUGCAUGAUGAUGACACCAGACCUAUCAUGGCUGCACGAUGGUGAGAGAACAGAUUGCUGGGCACCGGCCUUGGUUGGCUCCAGGAUACUAGCUCAGGAGUUGGGAGAGAUUGCAGUUCAUGGUGUGGAGGCAGAAGCAGGAUACAUCGAGUGGUCUUACCAGGUGUCUCAUCCACGCAUGAUUCUUCCCGACAUGCCGAUACCGGUUCCGAGGCCACCGGAGUGUGAGAUCCUUGAUGCGCGAGCUGCUCAGGAGGAAGGAGACCUUGCGUACUUACAACUUAGCGGAAGGAUGAGCCGCAUCAGAGACCACAUCUAUGCUGUGAUGAGAAUUGGUCUGGUGCCAAAAGGGACUGAGGAAUGGCAGCAUCUGGAGGAUGCGUUGAGAGAGGUGCAUGAUGAGAAAGUUUACCGUCGUUGGGGAGCUACUGUGGGUGCCAGAGGUGGUAGAGGUGGCGAUGGUACGGGUGUAGUUAUUAGGGGCUGAUAGUAUUGUAUUGUAUGUUUAUGUUUGAACAUUUUGAAUGCUUUUGAAUUAUGUAACACUUGGAUAAUUUUUAAUUAUAUUUGAUUAAUGUUUUGUUCAAAAAUUAUGUUGUGUUGAUGAUUUUGAUGUUUAGAAGUUCGAUUUACUGUUAGAACAUGUCACCGGCAUGAUAUGUCUAUUUGGAACCAAGCAAAAUGCGCAAAAACAGAGGGCUUCUGCCUCUGUAUUGAUGCAGUCCGGAUUAUAUAAUCCGGACAUGUUUAGCACAUUCCGGAUUAUAUAAUUCGGCAUCAUCGUUCACCCCCCUUUUGUUGACUUUCAACGAGGUGAUUUACACGUUUCAGAUUAUAUAAUCCGGAAGCUAUCUAAGUUUUUCGGAUUAUAUAAUCCGGAACAAUAUAUUCAUAACUGACAUCAUCAUCCAUCAGGGUGGAUCAAGUGCCAAAAUACACGAAUAAAUCCGGAAUUAAUAUUCGGGAAUGGAUUCAGAUUAUAUAAUCCGGACUAGGGGUAUUAUGGGAAAGAAAUAGGGCGCGUGAGGAAAGAUAUAGGGUGGGAAAAGUAAUACUCUUUUAGGGUCUAAAGUCUAUGUUUGUUUAUAUGGUGAAACUACAUUAAAGCCUACGUCCAACUAUAAACAUUUAUUUCUAGCUUUUAUUUUAUUUUAUACUCUUGUGACAAAAUUUCUGGAAAUUUAUUUAGCGUCGCAUUAUAGGCUGACGCAAAUUGGCUGUAAAUUUCAACAAAUUCCUGGAAAAAAUGGAUGUAUUAUAUUGCAUAGAAGAGUGAUUUCAACAAAUUCAUUGACUAUAGCGUUAAAUUUUUCUGUAAAAUUAAUGAGAAGAGAAAUUUUUGAGGUUUGAAAUGAAGAGAAAUAAGGGUCUUUUUACUUCUUGUGUUUCCUGUUUUCAUUUCCAUUGGUAUAUAAAUAUUAGAGAAUACAUAAUGUAAGGUUUUGAAAAUGUUGCAAAGGAGAUUCAACAUUUCUGAAGAUUCUAAAAAAUGUUAAAACAUUGUUCUGAGUAAUUUUAGAACUUUGUUCUCUGUGGUUAGAUUUCGUAUUCUCUCUAUCACAAUUAAAAAGAAAAAUUCCUAACCAAAUGUCAAUUAUAUCAUCCAUUUACUAGACUUUUCUUGCUAGUUUCCUCUACAUGUCCUUUUCAUUUCUCUAUACCACAUGGUUUUACCAAACAAAUGUCGGAACGUGUGCAAUUUGGACUACAACAUAAAGUGUUUUGAUUUGUCAACGCGGUUGGCACAACCGCGAUUGAGGCUACAUCAGAUAUCAUGACACGAUCGCUCUUGUCCACAGCCUCUAUUUAAAAUCCUGGAAACUAUAUGCAAAGGAAUAAUUAUAGUCGAUGAUUGACAGGUACCUUGGAAGCAAGAAGAGGAGCAGUUUCUCUCAUAUCAAAAGCCUUUGCUACACAAUUAGCUAACCUAAGAAGCAUAAAGGCACCACCACCAAUACCACUUGAAGCUGAACUGACAACCCCCAAACAAAGAGCAGCAGCCACAACUGCAUCAACUGCAUGUCCCCCUUCAUGGAUAGCAGCCAUCCCGAUCUUUGAGAAUCGAUGGUCAUCGGCUGCAACAGCUCCAUGAUGAGCAAUGAUUACUUCGUUUCUUGUUUUUGUGAGUCCAUUUUUGGCAGAAGCAUAGGCCAAAUUGGAAACAAAGAGGAAGCAUGUGAUAUUCUCAAUUAUAUACAGGUUACAACAAUAACUUGGCUGAUCACAAAUUAAAGUCAGCACUGAUUCAGAGAGAUAUUCUCAAUUCAAAUUCAAAUAUUGCUAACUGAAAAUCUAUAGAAAAACUGCAUCAGUGAUGACUGAUGAGCAAUUGAAUUCUCUAAUUCAAAGUUAAAUAUUGUUAGAUGAAUAUCUGCACAAUAAUUGCAGCAAUCAGUUCACUGAUCUUACACAUAUUGAUAUAUCAAGGCAUCUCUUCCAUCUUCAUUAGUGAUUAGACUUUAAGAAUAUCAAGGCAAUUCGUUUGUUCAGGGAGCUAGAUGCAUACAUAACCUAUUUAAAAUAAGAAUGCAAGUCACAAACUCAACUUAAUAGAUGCAAGCAACAUAUAUGUAGAUCAUAGAACAAGCACAAAUAAAUGACAUCAAGCCAAUAUGAUUCAACUACUCUUAACUAUUAUUCAAGUCAAGACGCAAAAAUACGAUGUUUUUGAAAAUCCAACCUGACAAAUCAUCGAAUUCCGCACACACUAAUGCAAAUAUGGCAACCCAAAUUUUGCUGCAAACAAGAAGAAAAUUUUAAAUAAAAUCUUUCUCCCAACAAUGCACAUGUGUUCAGAUUGGACAAAUGAACACUACCUGAGCACAUGCUCAUUGAAAUGCCAUCACCCUCUUAACUUUGACACCUCUAAGUCACAUACAAGCAAGGGGAAGUAAAGAUCAAGUAUGCAUGCUUAUAGUUUCUGUUCAGUUUUUUUUAUUAUAUUAGAAUCAAAUGAAGAUCACAUUAAUUAAAAUUUUGAGUACAUUAGUUCAUUAUAAGAAACAGAACAUAUUAUGAUAAAAAUUAGAUAAAGACAUAAAAAAAAAAACUAUAAUAUUGAACAAAUAAUUGAAACUCAAGUGUUAGAACACCCUUAAUCCCGCCUGAAGAUUCACUUGCUUGGGUUUGUGAUUAUCAUGAAGGAGAUAUUCGCGUUUCAAUGGAUGAUUGGAUUGAUAUGAACUAUAAUUAUUAUGAGUUCCUAGUGUUAUUGGUCAGAUAAUUUUUCCAUUCUAAGGCAUUCAUAGAUGUCAUGAUUUGUUGUAUGCAUGUGUCGUAUGGAUGUAUCACUUUGAUUAGAGUCACUUGGAGUUUGUUAUUGUAGUUGCAAGUUGGUUAGGAUUAAUUGCAUGUUGCUUAAGAUUAGUUAGCUUUGUUAAGAUCGUUAUAUAAUAGUGUAUCUUACACCAAGUGUAAUCAACUUUUCUCAUUCUAUCAAUUCCAAAUAAUAAAUCUGUCUAAAUUCAUUUCUUUAAGGUAUUCUUAUUUGGUGUUUGUAAUUGAAACCUAUUGUACUAGCUGAUAUAACUUUUGCAAUAUCUUGCCAAAUCUUUUUAUCCAUCUUUGCAAACAUCGAUCAAACGAAGUGCUGAGUUAAUGUUUCCCUUCCUUAUUAUCAGUUGGAUGGAUAGGAAAUGACGCUAUAACACCCAUCGUUGGUGAGCAUGAUCCUUAUAUUCAUGUAUAUUUACAUUUUUAAAUAUACAUUCAUCUAUACUAACAAAUAAGUAAUUAGAUUUCUUCAAAAAAAAAAAAAAAAAAACAAAUAAGUGAUAUAAUUUACAGACUAAUUUGCUAGUAAAUGUUCUAUUUUAAUUUGCAUUUGUUCCUUUGCCAAGCAGAUAAUGAUUUAUAUCCUCACGCAACGUAUGAAUGUACCAAAGCACAUCAUACUUCUUCAUUGAUUGUCACCUAGGAUCCUAUGAUUUCUCCAACUCCACACCCACCACCACAAGGCAUACAGAAAGACUUGAGGAGGUUGAGAUUGAAGACCCUCCUUAAUCCAAUCUUUAGUCAUCGAUAUUGAGAAGAAGUGUCGAGUAUACCUUAUAGAAAUAGUUUUACAUAUCUCUCGCGCAAAGUGACAAUCCCUUAAGCAAUGUAAUGCAUCUUCAUUAGUUAGAAGACAACUACCACAUAGAGCAUUAUCCGUGAGAUUGCACCUUGUUGACAAGAACUGCAUCAUGGAGGCAGAGUCAAACAAAGUGUUGGAUUUUUGCAGGCGCCUUAAUUCUCCAAACCGAAUUCCAAUCAUUUUUCAUGUUCCAAGUUCUAUUGCGAGCUAACAACCAAUCAUAGCCAGAUUUACAGGUAUAAACCCUUGUCUUAGAGUCAUUCCAUAUCCACAUAUCUUGUUUCUCUUCACUAUAAGUAACAGGAGGAGGGUGUUGGUCAACAAGUUGAACAAUAUUAGAAGGUACAUUGGUCAUUAAAGCAUUCCAAUUCCAACAACCAUUUGAACCAACAUCCCUAAGCGUUAGAUGAGUAUCUGAGAUAUUGACAAAAUCAACCUUGUGACACAAUCUCCCCAUCUUAGUCCAAUCAGAAAACCAAAAUGAAUAAUUUCCGUCACUAAUAUGGUAACUAAAACCUUCUAUAAGAUUUUUAGCUGCCUCCAAUAUACUUCUCCAAACUAGAGAAGGACUUCUCGUUUCUUCGCUGCAAUGUUAAUGGCCUCCGGAUCUGCAAUGUUCACGCCCAACUCUUUGAUUGAAAAAUUAAUCUUUCAAUAUGAAUCAAAUGAACACCGCAAAAAAACGGAAAAUCAAACAACGCCGCACAAGACGACGAACAACAAACCACCACACUUAGAUGAUAAAUCACAAAGAAAAAACUUAGAUCCAUGUGAAAAUAACUUAUUUAGAUUGAAAUAUAGAGAAAAAGAUGAAGAGGGGUGAUUUUAGGUCAAGAAUCGACUCAAAACCACCCCUCAAUGAAGAAAUUGGAAGAGAAAAUCUAGAGAGAAAAAAUUAGGGCCGACUUGUUGGAGAGAGAGUGAAGUACAAUCAUCAAUUCAUAGCAAGUACACAUAUUAUAGAAUUGAUCGCAAUAUUACUAAUAUAUCAAGAUAACUAUUACAAAAAAUGAAAUUAAUCACAAUAUUACUAAUAUAUCAAGAUAACUAUUAUAAAAUAAUUAGUGAAAAGAGGACAAUAGAUUCAGAAAAAUGGACAAUAGAAAGAUGUAACCAAAUAUGAACAUGCACACACAUAUUAUUGACCUAAUACAUACUAAAACAUCACAAUAAGUACUGAAGCACAUAUAUACACAUAAAAUCAACGAAAAUAAUAAUUAGUGAUUUAUUAUUCUUAUACUUGAUUCAUACUAAAACUAUGGGGUUCAUUCUUUAUUUUACAUUUAUUAUAGCUUAGAUAUUGUGCAGCAUGAUACAUCACACACACACACACGUGGGCUUGAAUACAUUAUACAAGUAUAUGUGUCUAGUUUUUUAUGGAGGGUUUCCCCACACUUGACUGGUGUCCCUAACUGUCACCCCCAUUUUUACCACCGUAAAAAUAUUUAACCCAAUAUUUAAUAACAUUUUCAAAACUAGUCGCCUUUCCACCAUCGAAAAGUUCUAUAACUUUCAAUUAUCUCCCACUUUUCCACCGUCUCCUUUUCCACCACCGGGAAUGGGUAUUUUGUAUCCACCACCACCCCCUUUUCCACCUUUACCACCCUUUCCACCGCCACCCCCUUUUCCACCACUAGCCCACCACCCUCUACCCCAAGUAUGGUCCUUCUGCCAUGUUACAUCGAUAUACCCUUUUCCACAAUGACCCUCUAUUCCAUCACCACAUCCGUCAUUGUUUUCUCCUUUGUUGCCAUUCCAGAUUGCACCUAAGUCUGACCAAUAUGCACAAUAAUGGUUAGUAUUUGAUUUUUCUAUUUCUCAAACUAAAAAUAAAUGUUUUUUAUUUGAUAUAAACAAAAGAAAAAAUUUCUACAACCAAACUCGUUUGUGUUUCUAUCGCCGCCUUGCAAUAUUGUACCUCUGCUUAGCCAAUUUUCAUAUCCAUGUACCUCAAUAUUUAUAUUUGAUUUUUUUGUUUCAGCAGCUGCAAAUAUAAAACACUUCUUAUUAAAUAUAAUAUAAAAGAAUAAAACGAUUGCACAUAUAUGAAAACUAUUUUGUAUAUAUACAAUGUUUACCAUUGAAAGGCAUAAUUGCCACAAGAAAUAUGCAUAGUGUAUAGAAGCACGCAAAGACAAACAACUUGGUUUUCAUCCUUAUUACGACAAUUAAGAGUAUCUUGUGAGAUAUUAUGAACACAAUAAAAAACUAUAUAUAUAAUGAUAAUGAGACACUAACAAUAAGUAAAUAAUUAUAUAUAAUGAUCAUGAGACAAUAAAUAUAAGAGGACCAAAAAGAACAUGAUUAGAUAAAAUACAUUGUACAACUAAAAAAAAAAGAUAAUAUAUCUUGAUCAACAAAAAAAUAUAGAUUAUAAUAUUUUGUUAACUAAUUGCGAGGAUAAAUGGUCAUCAACAACAAUUGAGUAAUGAAAGGUUAAAUUGGGGAAUGUUUGUUAACCACGGCAAGCAAGAUUUGAGACAAUGGCAACUAGCAAACCACAAUGGCAACAAAUUUUCCAUUUUUUUUUAGAAAAAAUGAUAAUCAUUGUGAACAACAAAUGAUUGUUUAUUCCAUAUGAUCUAUACCAUACCAUAUUUUUAAGAAAUUGAUAUAAUAUGUAAUCAUUUAUUUUCAUUUCUUAUAUUGAAUAUUAAUAUAUCACAGGUAGAACUCUCAAAAUGGGUUAGACCCACCAUAGAUUUGUGCUGGGUCUAACAGUCGUGCCCUACAACCUUAUCCAAAAUACCACUGCACUAGUUAACUAACACAAAUAUAAAAUUACGUUGAUUUAAAAUUUUAUUUGUUUUACAUAUACGUGAGUUAACUCACGCUAAUAUUUUGGGGGAAUAUCAAUAUCCCUUGCCUUUAUCAACACUUGAGAGAAAAUUCUGAGACUCAAGGAAUGAUAUUCUAUGUGUCAGGUUCAUGUUAUCAUAAUAAUUACUCCGUCCGUUUUAAAAUAUAAGUAAAUUUUACUUUUUAGGUUCAUUCAAUUAAUGAUGUAUAUGUAUGUGGUCCAUAUUAUAAACCACAUACAUCAUUAAUUGAAUGAACUUAAAAAAUAAAAUUUGUUAUAUUUUGAAACGGAGUACCAUAAUUUAUUCAUUGGAAUGUGUAGGAGGUAAUUGUAGAUCUAGAGCACAUGAAGAAAGCGAAAUGGAUUUUAGUCGGGUAAUGGACUCAAGUCUCUUUCAUCAUCAUCAAAUUUUUUACACUUAAUUUUGGAUGAAACCAAUUAACAUUUGACUAAUUGUUUAACGACAAAACAUGGAUCGGUAAUGUCUUAACCUUUUAUAAAUUUAAUGUCGGCUGAUAAUAUUUUUUCUUCAAUUAGUCCCUCCAUCCAUAUAUCUAAGAACUUACUCCCUCCGUCCCAAAUUGUAUGACGUUUUGGGCAUUUCACACAUAUUAAGAAAUGUAAUUAAUAUUGUGUGGGAAAGAGAUAUUAUGAGUUGUUUUACAAAAUUGUCCUCAAUAAAUGAUAUGAGAAAGAUAAAUGAAGGAAUUGAAAGAAGAGAGAGUAAUAAAUAGUUAAGGAUAUAAUAGGAAAAGUAACAUUAAUGUUUCAUUGGUAUUCUAAAGUGACGUACAAUUUGGGACAAAUAUUUUUUCUAAAGUGGCAUACAAUUUGGGACGGAGGGAGUAUUUGAUUUUAUUUUUGUCCAUAAAUGUAAAUUUCUUUUCAAAUUAUUAGAUGCAUUUAUUACCUUUUUCCUAAACAUAUCCCUAAUUAAUAUUACUAACUUGUCUUGAAAUGUGAAUAGUCAAAUUUAAUACACAUACAAACAAAAAUCAAUUUGAUAAUAUUAAUACACAAAACAGAUACAUUAAUUACACUGACAACUUUUAUUAAGAAAUCUGAAAAAAGUAAAGGGUUCACAUUAAGGAAGUAUUAUGGUACAUGAUUGGUUUCCAAAUGCAACAUGUCACUGAAGUUUUAUGGAGUAGUUGUUUCAUGUCAGGAAAGUUUGAUAUUGCCCCAAAGUACUGGCGUGUGUUAAUUCACGCGGCGUGAUUUAAAAUCACUUAUGUGUAAAACAAACGAAAUUUUAAAUUAGCAUAAUUUUAUACUUGCGUUAGUUAACUAGCACAGGAGUAUUUUGGACAAGGUUGCAGGAUGCGAGUGUUUUGUGCUGGGUGAAGAGCCGAAUUAAUAAAACAACCUUAUUUUUUGGGCCAAUCCAACAAGCCUAUAUGUUACACGGUUCAGUCUGAGUUGAACCAUUGGGCUUUUCGGUCGGCCAUUAAAACUUACUAAAAAAAUUAGUUUAUAAAAUAGUUUUAUGUAAGAUUGAAUUAUUUGAUUAUGUAUGGCUGAAUUUUGUUGUCUUUGAGGUUCACUUUGUGAGUUGUGAUAAAUCUUUUUUGCAUUGAUGUUUUUGUGCUAUUUAUCCCUUAUGAAUGUUGAUUUAAUAGAUCUUUUAUAUAACUUUAACUAAGUUUAUGAAGUCAUGUGAUUUAUUCGAUGAAUAAUAAUUUAUGUAAUGUGUUUCUAUUAAAAAAAUAUGUGAUAUGUAUUAUUGGUCAUUGCAUCUACUUUUUUGAAAGAAAAAAUUGAAAUACGGGUCGGGUUGAUCCAUUGAGCCGCGCACCUCACUACAAAUUGGGUUGGUCUCAAUUUUGGUGCUCGUCAAUCAACUGGACCGACCCACUCCAAUCCAUUUAUAUGAGUUGGCUCAUCGAACCAAAGCGAAUUGGGUCGGACUAGUCUAUUUAACAGCUUGAAAAUUGCUUUUCUGACAUAGAAAACUACCUAUUGUCACAAGUAAAUGACGCUUUUACCCCAGCGGCAAUUAACAACCGUUAUCCUAAGCGCCGACAGUUAACAACCCCUGGCUCUAGCGGCAGUUAACUGUCGUUGCUUUCUGUUAUAUGAACAGAACAGCAUAGGAGUUUCCAAAACUCCAUUGUUACGUUUUUUGCUUCCAUAGAUGUGAAUUUCACAAAGCAUAAAUCAUUCCAAGCCAAUUUCAAGCACAAAAUCAAGUAAGUUUUUUGAAUUCUAUUGCAUUGCUAUUUUGUGAUUGAUUUGUUAGUUUUGUUUGGUUAAAUUGCAAUUAUAGAGGUUUAUUGAUUUUAUGAUGUUAUGAUAGUUUAGAUUGUUUGAAUUGUUAGGUUUAGGUUAGAAUUGUUUAGAUUGUUAGAAUUGUAUAAUUGUUAUGAAAUUAUGGUAGAAUUUUUAGGAUUAGAUGAAUUAUUGUAUAAUCGUUGCGAUUAGUUUAGGUUUGUUAUGAAAUUUUAUUGUUAUGAAUUAUUGUAGAAUUGUUACGUUGAUCGCCAAUUUGUUUAUGUAGAUAUGUCUCAGAAUCAGGGAAACGUUGAGUUGAACAACAGAAAGGAGGGUCACGACAGGAAGAAAGAAAAAUCGCCGAUGACAUGGCACGAAAUCACAUGUGGUGGAUCCGUCAAAAAGAAGGAUCUGAAGGUGCUGGUGUAUAAUCAUUCGAGGUUGAGGAAGAGCGGGAGGACAUGCUUUUUGGUCCUCAGCCAAAAGCAGGUGCUCCAGGGACUGUCGAGGACAACCCGAUUGACUUAUGUGACGAUUGAAUGUAAUUGUUUUUUAUGUUUUGGAUCUUUUUUACUUAAUUGUUUUGGAUCUUUUUUAUAUGUUUUUUUAUAGUACAUUUUGCUUGACAUAUUGGUAGUUUGAAUAAAUUCGCGUUUUGAAUAAUUUCAAUUAAAAUCGUGUUUUGAGUAAUUUCGAUUAAAGUCACGUUUUGAAUAAGUGCGUAUUCGAAUAAAAAUUAAUUAAAUCUAACGUGAAUUCAACUAAUUAAAAUUGCGUAAUGACUAAAUAAAUUCGAAAAGUGAAUAAAUAAGAUAAUUAUUGUUCCAUUCAAAACAACAUGUAUUAUGCAUAUUCAACUAUAUAUGUUAUCACAUUACAUUCCCAAAUGUACCUUCCAACUACAACAAUCAUCUUACCUCUAAAUGGGGUAAAUUCAAACUUGCUAAACAGCAGGACUCCAGCAUGCGAUGAGCAUCUUGAAUGAUGAUGGUAUUCAAGUAUCAAAAGAAUGAGGUGCAUUCCUUGACACUUGGAUACCAUUAUUCAAGAUGCUUAUUGAAUGCUGGAUUCCUACCGUUUAACAAGUUUGAAUUACCCCAUUUAGAGGAAAUAAUUGUAGCAGUUGGACGUUUGUACCUUCCAACUACAACAAUUGUGUUACCUUUGAAUGGGGUAAAUUCAAACUUGCCAAGCAGCAUGACUCCAAUGUUCGACCGACAUUCCCAUAGUUCCAUUCAAAAGAUUAAAUUCUUGUUAGGUUUGGUUUAAAUGAUGGUAUUCAAGUGUCAAAAGAAUGAGGUCCAUUCAUUGACACUUCAAUACCUUCAUUUAAACCGGCCUAACAAGAAUUUAAUCUUUUGACAAGAACAAUGAGAAUGUUGGUAGAACAUUGGAGUCAUGUUGUUUGGCAAGUUUGAAUUACCCCAACAAUUGUUGUAGCUGGAAGGUGCAUUCAUUCGGUACCUAAUGACGAUCUUCUGGUGGAAUCAAACUUUUGAUGAUAUCUUCAGUUGAUCUCAGCAACGUCACCUACAUAUCGAUCCACUGGAACAUGUUGUGCAUGCUCGUCACGUUUUCGUCGUUCAUUAAUUCCACCCAAGUGAAUGAUACUCUCCCCUCGUCGAGCGUUGAACGUUUAUACCGAACGUGUUCCACCCUCCUUGUGUCUCUGGGGUUGACUCUUUGGUUGAAUUCAGUCAGUUCAUCCUGGACACCUCUUAACGUUACACCAAGGCACCAAACCUUCAACCUCUGAGGUUCUUUGCCGUGCAUGAACAUCGAUCCACCCGGCCAUUGUUUCAAAUCUACACAAUUAGAAAUUAAAAAUAAUCAAUGCAAAACUCAUUCAAACACUUGUAGUGAAAAUUUGACAUAAACCCUAAAAAUCCUAAACAAACCCUAAAAAAUUUAUAAAAUUAAAAAAAAUAUAUAAAUUUAAGCAAUAUAACUUCAUUAUAACAUAUAUUCAUAAUAUAUGUUAAUAACAUUUCAGAUCUACAACAUAACUAUAUUAAAAACAAAUAUUUAAACCCUAAAAAAUUUAUAAAAUUCAAAAAAAUAAUAUAAAUUCAAGAAAUAUAACUUCAUUAUAACAGGUAUUCAUAAUAUAUGUUAAUAGUAUUUCAGAUCUACAACAUAACUAUAUUAAAAACAUAUAAACACAUAUACUAACUAAAAUGUAUGACAAUAGCAAAAGUGAUAAUUUACUUGUGAUUAAGUGGAAGAAAUUUUGGAUGAUUUGGUAGAGUUUUUUUUAGAGAGAGUGAAAAUAUGAGAGAAAAAUGGUGAUGGUGAUGAUGGAGUGAAUUUUUGGAUUACGGCUACUGACUUGAAUAAACCACGAACAUAACGUCAGUUAACAACCGCUGGCUUUCAGCGGCAGUUAACUGUUUGUGCUUAGACUAACGGCUGUUAACUGCCGCUGGGGUAAAACCGUCAUUUACUUGUGUCAAUAGGAAGUAUUCAUUGUCAAAAAAACAUUUUUCUAACAGUUUUAGCCACAAGCAACCAACAAAAUAAGCUAAUAGAUCUAAUCAUUUUGGUCGAACCUUAUGCUUUAUUUAAGUAUAGCAAAGUGAGAAUGAGUUUACUCUUGAUAAUUAGAGAAUAUAUACUAGAGGUCGAGAAACUUUGACUUUAUGGAACUCUUAUUUAUUAAUAGAGUAGUGCACCCUAUCGAGAUAUUAAGAGAAAACUAAUUUUAAAUUAUUAGGAAUAAUAGAAGAAGAGAGUUAUACUAUCGUGUCAAAAAUUAUUGAUCUGAAAGGAAAAAAACUAAAUUGAUGAAGACAUAAACGGUAGUUUAUUUUUACUGCGGAAAGCUUUUCCACGUACCUAUUAGGAAAUGAUAUUUUAUAUAUAGAUGAUUAUAAAUUGGAAAAUGUUAACCGAAGACCCUUACCCUCGUUAUUAGAAAAAUAAAUAUAGUAUUUUAUAUUAAAAUUUGUGCAGUCAACUAUUCAAAAGUUUAAAAAAUGGCAUGUUCAAUUUAAAACUUUUUUUUUUUGGUUCCUUAACCCAUGUCCGCGGCAUGGGUUAGCAAAUUUUGUGCGCAUUCAAUUGCAAUCGAAAAAUGAACGUAACAACCAAACAUAACCCAUUGUCGGUUACAAUUAAUUGAAAUAAAAUGCCAACGGUUUCAUUUUUUGGGUUAUUCGCUUAUUUUUUUUGUUGGGAUCAUUGUAAUUCAAAGAUUGUUUAUUUGUAAACCUUUGAAAACAUCUGAUUGUAUCCAAAGAUGAUGUGAUAGAUGAUAAAAAAUUCACCUAAAUGAUAGAGGACGGAAGUAUCUAUAAUCUCGUAAUUUGACGUCAUGAAAGUCUAAAAGAGAAAAAUCUUUAAAUUACAAGUUGAAAUCUAAAAAUUCUUUGUAAAGGAGUGAGGGAAAAACUCACUUUAAGCGCUUCAUCAUUGUGAAAUUUCCUUAAUCAUGUGCAAUACCCAACAAACAACGUGUUCUAUAAUGUAUUCCCCACUUUCACCAGAAAAUUUGUUAGUUUUGGAAUAUUAAUUCCUCUAGGAAUUUCAUUUUGUUGCACCCAAUCUAGGAAUCUAUGAAAAAUUCCAUUGAUUUGCAUACUCCACAUUGAAACAAACCUAUUUUGGGCUCGUUCAACGUCUUGAUUGACAAUUUUCCCUACAUCUAUCUAUUACAGGAGUAGGCACAUUUAGGUCAUUCCAAAUUAGGAUGGAGCAAGUUGAUAUUCAAGUAUCAUACAAUUUUCAUGGUUCAUACGAGUUGAUAUUCAAGUUGAAAAUUGAAGAAAUGCAAUACGAAGAAAAAUAACCGUUGUCUUAGUUGAAUAGAAACUAAAAAUGAAUUAAUGCUUAAAUGUUUAAAAGGAAGUCAAUUACAUGAAUUUAAAUAUGUAAACCAAAGAAUAUUUAAGAAUGAUUCAUACUCAGGAAUCCAACAAUGAAAACAAAUCAAAACUUAAUACAUAUCAGAAAAUGUUUGAAAGUUUUAUUGCAAAGUAACUUGUAAAACAUGAAGAAAACACAAACUUGAAGUUUAAGAAGAAAGCCUAAUGUAAAUGAAAGAUAAGUAAAAGAUUUUUUUUUUUUUUUUUUUAUCAAGAACGACAAAAACAAACACUACGUAAAAGGCAAGAAAUUUGAAUUAAAAAGCAAGAACUUGAAUUAAACAAAUAAGAAAAAUAAUGGUAUACUUAAGAACUUGCUGUGCAAGAAACUUUAUCUUUUGUUCUUGAUUGUUUAAUCCUUCUUAUUCCUUGCAAACAUCAAAUUCAUCACUUGUCAUAUUUUCGACGAAUAUAAAUUUGUCAUCUAACACCAUGUCAUGGUUAUUGUCAUCUAUCUAUCGUCGAACACUAAUCAAAGUACUUGUCUUAGAUCGAUGAUAUUUUGUAGUGAAAGAAACAUUGCAUGCUGCUAUACAAAUCUUGUUUGUUCGAUUUAGAUUUUAAGGUAGAUUAUGAUAUUUGUAUUUUAAAAUAAAAAUAUCAAACUUUAAAUUUUGAAUGUCAUCGAUCAACAUCUACCAAAAUGCGUGCAUUCAUUCACUGGAUUGUGAUUGCACAUCAUCCAAAUCAAAUGUAUCUGGGGUUCACGAUGUUACUUCAAAAUAAUCUAGUUUAAAGUCCUCACUUUAGCUAUAAAGUCUGAACUCACAUCCCCAUGGGAUGUGGAUUAUAUUCUUAUCCCUAUCAUUAAUCGACUAACUUUUGCUCACAAAUAAAUUAUGUGGGUUAGAUAUCGCAUGACCAAUCCUUAUAUAGAUAUGAAUCACUAAACCAUUAUCUAAAAAAACAAAUUAUUUUAACAAACUUCAUGAAAAUUAUACUAUGAAAAAUAUUACAUAGAGUUCACACACACUGACCUCCAACGUCAACCGAUCGAUGAAGCAACGACACAAGCAUAAAUAUUAGACACAAUACUGCACUAGCUCCUACACAAUAAUAUUUCUUUAACAAAACAAGUGGUUGAACGUAACUAUAUAUAUCAGUAUCAUGUCGGUAUCAGACCUCCAAUCUGAAGUGUCGAUUCUAUAUAGAUACCAACUAGUUGAGAAUGAGAUCUUCAUCUUGUAGCGAAAGGAAACCAACGUUCAUGAAAAGAAGACUGAUAAGAAAUCAUAAACAAGAGGAACACAAGCAAGAGUGCCACUCCCCAUGGAGAUCCACCAGCUCUAUGCAAAGAUUCACUCUCCUCUGGCAAAGGUAAAGUGAACGAUUCUCCACUUGAGAGACAAUGAACAACAAGCAACAAUAAUAGUGGCACAAGGGACAACAAAAUCUUCACCUGAAUAAACUUGUCCUCGUACACGUACUCAUAGUUUAUGUACCAUGAAAAUGCUAACACAAAGAAAAGGAUGAACAUGAAUAAACAAAGAUGAACUGGGAAAGAAAAAUAUUCCCAGAAAUAGUAGCUAUUGUUGUAUCUUGCCAUAGAUAUGGAAAUUGUUCCUGUUAAUGAAGUAAGGAUAUUUCGGAUAUAAAAAUGUUAUAAUCUAAAGUGUUGUCCAAUAGGAGGAUGCCACAAUGCUGUACGUCGAGGUCGACCAAAACGUGUGAAGAAGAGAAAAUCAAGGAUGAAAAAAACAACUAGAAUGCAUUAGUUUCGGUUUGUGUCUGUGUGAUACUAAGAAAUUGGGAUCAUAUCAUUGGGAAACCUGUGUCUUGCUUAUUCGAAAGCUGGCCCAUUUUUUCUAUUUUCAAGCUAUAAUUUGGAGUCAUGUCCCUUCAUGUAUUUAAUAAUCUAAUUGUCUAUGUUUGUUUACGUGGUGAAACUACAAUAAUCGUACGUCCAACAACUAUAAGCAUUUAUUUCUAGUUUCUAUCUAGACGCAGAAAAUCAUUUAUUUUCCAACAAAUUUUAUUUUUUUUUUAAGAAAUUUUCGUUUUUGAUUGGCCUAUUAAGGAGGUAAAUCAAAACAAAAAUAUUUUACAGGGGUGAAUCAAAAUAAAAAUUUGUUUUAUAUAUAAUUUAACUAUGUUUUGCUCUGCUUUAAAAAAAUGUGAGACAAGAGGAAUUAAUAUACAUGUAUUAUAUUGUUUUAAUAGAAUUUAGGUGAGUAAAUCUCAAGAAUUGCAAAUGUACUUAUAAAUUAUAAAUUACUAUAUUAACAAAAUAUUACAUACGGUUCACAUGAUAGCCUUCAACGGCAACCUAUGAGACACAUGUCCCUGAUACGUAGACAUCAAUAAUAAUUUAAAAGAACACAAAUAAUUUAAUGUAAUUACAUGUCUCUGCAUCACCUUGUAAUCAUACAUCACAUGUCUAACAUGCCGACACACAUUCAAUCUAAAGUGUCCAUUCAACAUAGACACGAACUCGAUCGAUACAUUUUGAGAAUAAGUUCUUCUUCACUUAGUAACCAAAGGAAACCAACGUUCAUGAAAAGAAGACUGAUGAGCCAUCAUGAACAAAAGGAACACAAGCAACAGUGCAACUCCCCAUGGUGAUCCACCAGCUCUAUGUAGAGACUCUCUCUCCUCUGGCAAAGGUAAAGGGAACGAUCCUUCACUUGAGAGACAAUGAACAACAAGCAACAAUAUUAGUGGUACAAAGGCCAACAAAAUCUUCAUUUGAAUAAACAUGUCCUCGUACAUGUAUUCAUAGUUUAUGUACCAUGAAAAUGCUAACACGAAGAAAAGGAUAAUUGUGAAGAAACAAAGAUGAAUUGGGAUAGAGAAAUUUUCCCAAGAGUAGUAGCUAUUGUUGUAUCUGGCCAUAGAUAUGGAAAAUGGAAAUUAUUGUUAAUGACGAAAAGUUAUUUAAGAUAUAAAAAUGAUCUAUAGUUCGAGAGGUUUCUAGGGACUUUGAUUUGAAGAGACUGAUUAGUCAAAAAGGUUAAUAUAAAGAGUUGGACAAGUAUGAGUGGAUGAAGUUAAAAGUUAUACAUAUAUAUAUCAUUCACUAUUAAUAGUAUUAAAACAGUGAAAGUUUGUAAAAAUCACUUUAUAAUAUCAAUUUUGUGAAGUUUUUAUUUUUUUUAUUUUUAUCAUUACAUAUUCUAAUGGAACGAUAAGAUAAUACAUUGCCAAUACUGUACUAUUCAUAAAGUACAUGAACAUGAUUAACAAAACUAUGUUAUUUCAACCACUAAAAAAAACCCUUUAUUAUUUCAGGAAAGUGGCAAGUUUAAGGUUGUGAGCAUUAGAAAACAGAAUUCUAACUAUAAUACAUGAAAACAUAAGAUGGUAAAUUCUAAAUAGGUAAUUCAAAUAAUAAUUUUUUUUACAAAGUUUAAAUAGUUCAAAAGCAUCAUGUUUCCAUAUAGCAUAUUCUUUCUCUAACAUAAAAAUGAUAUGGUUUCAAAACUGGUCUAAGAAACAUUAUUAGAUGCUUCUUGAUAAAGAUUGAAGAAUGUGUUUCAUCAAAAUAACCAAUUUUUCAUGUGUGUUAAAUGCUAAGACAUCCAAAAAUAGAAAAUUGUGAAAUCUAAUGAUAAUCUGUCAUACCAUAUUUUUAUAGUCCUUUUAAUUAAGUUUUUACUUUAUUAUUAUUAGUAUAGUGUUUAAUUUAGAGCCAAUUCGAAUAAAUCAUAGUUUUUCAUUUAUUGAAUCAAUUAUAUGUAUUAUUACUAUUAUUGUUGGCCACAUGAUCAAACAAGAGCAAGGCAUGAUAUUCUUUGAAUGUUGGCUAGUAAAGAGGCUAAGAAGAAACAUGAGAUAUUGGAUGGAAAAAAAAAAAAAAAAAAAAGGAUAAGUGGAGAAUCAAUGAAUUGAAGGAAAGGGCAGCCACACAAUGGAGAGAAUAGCAACACCGUAGUGAAAAGAAAUAAAGUGGAGAAGAGAAAGCUCGUGAGCAAUACAUCUCUGGUUUUAUUUUCUUUUUAUUAUGUUGUUUAAUUUUCUAAACAUGAGUAGCUAGAUUGUGCUUUAAGAUGAAUUUUGUAAACCAUGAAACUCUACGAUCUAUUGCAAUGAUUCAAGAGUUAGGUCAUGACAUUGAAAUUAAUGUUGAUAUACAACCUUCAGCGUUAGGGAUUCACCUACGGAAUUAAAGAGUCAUAACUCUAGAGGGUUAUGAUCCAAGAGAUUGAGCGGAAUCAAUUAGUUAAUUUGUCGUGAAAUUACGAGAAUCGUUGUAGAAGAUAGAUGCAAUUUAUCGAAUAACGAGAUAGAGGAUUUGAAAGACCUAGUCAUCUUCCCUUUAAAUCUUAAACAAAUUGCAAAAAGCAUUAAUAAUAAUGACUUUGCCGAAUAGAAAUUGAAACGGUCCAUGUGGAGACGAAUCUUAUAAAUAUUAUUACUUCGAUGCAUUUUUAGUACACUUGUUAAAAGUUUAUUAAGUUUUUGGAUUCGUUUUCCAGGACGUUUGAAUCAUUUCAAUGAGACAAUUUUAUUGUUAUUUAAGAUUUGUGUCAUUUAUAUAUUUUUUUCUACUUAUAUAUUGUGACAUCCAAAAAAAGAAAAUUGUGACACCAAUUUAAAUUGACGAAGGAAAUGAUGGACAAAUACAAAGUUUGAGAAUUAUGAUUAUCUCGAGAGAGUUACAUUAAUUAUGUGUGAUGUAAUAACAUCAAUCUUAUAAAUACUAAUAAUAUUAUUUCAUGGUAAGACUAUAAGGUCAUUCAUUAUUUUAUAUUUCUUACAAUAUUAAGUAUUGUGUUAGCAUGUAUAUGCGUCUAAUUUUUCAUGGAGGUUUUCCCCACGCUUGACUUGUUUCCUCAAUUGUCUUUCUCUUUUCCACCACCUCCCAUCUUUCUACCAAUGAGAAAACCUAUGUUGUUUCCAUCACUUUCCCCCUUUCCUUUCCUUUUUGCAUUUUUGAGAAAUUUUACAAAAUUUCCACUACGACCGCCACCAUCGGGAUAGGUUUUAUCGUUUCCACCGGUGCAAGCGUCACUGCUUUUGACUCCAUCCUUCCAACGCACCCACCAUCCAUAGCAAUUUAGCUCUUCGUCUUCUAUUUCAGCCACUGAAAAAUAACCAAAACUUUUUAUUAAAUAUUUAGAAAAGGAAAAAAAAUGGUGUAUACAUGGCUACUAUUUAUAUAAAAUGGUGUAUACAUGGCUCCUCUUCUUCAUAAGACUCAUUUGCCACAACAGAGAUAAGAAUAAAGGCAGAAAAGCACAAUAAAAUAAUCAAAUUGGUUUUCAUCGUAGUUACUACUAAGAGUUUCUUAUGGAAUAUGAUUUUAAUCAACACUUAUUUAUAAUGACCAUGGGGCAAGAUUGAUGUGAGAAGAAUAAAGAUCUUGAUUAGAUAAAAUAUAGUGUACAAUAAAAAAAAAAUGACCAUAGGGGCAAAUUGGUUAAUUAAUUGUGAGGAUAAUGGCUAUUCAAACCAUUGAAGGGUUACAUUUGAACAUUUUUGUAACUCGAGGUAAAUAGGUUUUUUUUUUUUUUUUUUUGAGGGAAGGUAAAUAGGUUUUUUAAACCAUGACAACUAGAAAAUAAUUAAGAUGUUUGAUGAUUUCUUUGAUGAAUCAUAAUUUUCUUCUUCUAAUUUUUUUUUUUUUUUUUUUUUGUAAAAAAUGAUAAUCAUAGUUAAGAACAAAUCGUUCUUUGUUCCAUAUCAUCUAUAACGAGCCAUAAUAUUAAUUAUGUUAAUGCAUAUGUAUCGACUUUGUUCCAUAUCAUCUAUAACGAGCCAUAAUAUUAAUUAUGUUAAUGCAUAUGUAUCGACUUAUGCCCAUAGCUUUCUUUUCUACAAAUUGGAAGUGCAGGGAUAAUUACGAAUGUCUGACAUCCGAACUAUGUUGGCACCUUAAAAAUCUUACAAUCAAUUCAAUUAGCUCAAAAUAUUUAUUGAUAUUAAAAAAGAAAACAAAAGCAAGGGGAAAUGGGUUUAUUGUGUUAUGUUAUAUUCAAGACUAUAAUAUUCUAUCUAUAUAAUAAAAGGAAACUACCCUAGAAAAAUCAUAUACAUCAUUUUCUCAAAUUUGUACAUAUCCUUUUUUAGGUAAAAGUGGUCGAUUUCUUUCUAAAUCAAAUAAUAAAAUCUAACGUUCAUUGUGUAAGUCAUAUUUGUAAGAACCAAGUUGGUUCAUAUACAAUUUUUUUUUUUUUUUGAAUAAGGUUCAUAUACAAUAUCUAUCUUUGAUGUUUUGAUGAUAAUGAAAAUAGGAUGAACAAUAUAUAUGUUAUCUGUUUUACUAAGUGUGUGGAUAAAAUUAUUGGAGCAGAGCAAAUAAAAUUAUUGGAGAAUUUUCACUAGUCGUACAAUCAGGGUCGGCCUAUAACUCGUUAAGGUUGGGCUAUGCCAUUGGGCCUCAAUUUUUUUGGGCCUAAAAUAUUAGAGUAUUACUUUUUUCACCCUGUUGAUUUCUCACGCGCCCUGUAAAAUUUUCAAAAAUGUCCAUUUCUAGUCCGGAUUACGUAAUCCGAAUUGCAUCAGCACCAUGAAAAAGUUGCAAGAGAUACAAACCGUUUUCACCAUUUUAAAGAUGAGUUUUGCUCAUGUAAUGAUGUUUUACUUUGUCUUUUGUUUAUCAAUAAGAGGGAUCAUUUAACAUGGAUUGGAAGAAAGAUUCAGGAAGCAACAAAGAGAAAGAAAGAUUAGAGCAAAAUAUAUACAACAGUAAAAAAAGAAAAAGGAAGAAAAAAAAACAGAAUAAUGUGCUACAAAGUGGUAAAGGGGACAAUACAAGUUUAAAUCCAACACUUCUUUACGUAUAAUUUUAAUGGCUUCUAGAUGCAUUUUAAUUUUUGCAGAACUUUUAAGGACUCAAUACUUCUAGAAAGAAAUGCAACUGGAAGGAGUGGUUACAGUUGGAAUGACAGUGGCAAUAGUAGCAACAACAACUGCCUUAGCUCCAGCCAUCACACCCUCUGUUUACACAAGAAUUGGUGAUGGUGUUGUCUGGAUUACGUAAUCUGGAUUGCAUCAACACCAUGAAAAAAAAAGGUGUUUAGGGGGUUUUCAGAUUAUGUAAUCCGAAAAAAUCAUGUUACGCGUCCUAUUUUUUGAGAUUUCUGGAUUACAAAAUCCGAAAAAUUCCGUAACUCAUUUUUCACCCUUUAACAAAAGAAAACACCCAUUCCAGAUUAUGAAAUCCGGAAACCUUAAGAGCAUUUUUGAAAAAAAUGUAGGGCGCGCGAGAAUGCUAUAGGGUGGGAAAAGUAAUACUCAAAAUAUAAUUGUUUUUAAUAUGUAAGGAACUAGAUUAGUAGUUAUAUAAGUGAAAGUAUAAUACGUUAUGCACGGAGUUCUAGUGGCGCGCCCCAUUGAUGGAUUUUUUGAAGGAUGAGUGUAUUGACUUUUUUGCAGUUACUUCUAAUUUUGAUGAAUGUCCAUCUCAAGAGAAGAAUUUUUUCACUCUCUAUGAGUAACCGAUUAAAAAAAUUGUAAAUGCCAAUAGUUUACAGAAUCUGACAAUAUUUUAAUAUUAGACAGUUUCCAUACAAGAGAGAAAAGAAGAAAAUCAAAAGGCAUAUUCUGUUAGAAUAUAAUUCAGUUUGUUAAGUUUAGUUUAGUUAGUUAACAAAGGUUGUUAUGAGUUUGUUAUGGGAUUGCUUGCUUGUGAAGUAACUAAGUGUAACAAAGUAUGCUAUAUAAAAAGUAUAGACUAUUGUAUGCCCAAUAGUAAUUGAAAUCAUAUAUAUUAUAUUGAGAAUCAAAAACACUUUCCAUUACUCUCAAUCACAUAAUCUUUCUAAUCCCAUCCCUUUUCUCUCUUCUCUAUUCUCUCAAUUUCAUCAAAAACCUUUUGUUCUAACAAAUUCUAUAUUCUGAAAAAAAAUACUUGAACAAUUUAAGCUUAGAUGAAAUUGUGUUAGAUGAGAGUGAUUAGAACUUGUUGCAAAUCAAUCAAGUACGCAUCAAUAUAAUCAACUUUCUAAGAUAUAUUAUAUACUUGGAGUGAUAUAUAUAGAAUUUAAAUUGUACGUUCUCCAUGAAGAGAGUUAAAAUGCUAAAAAAUUACUUAGCACUCGCUUCAAAUACAAACUCAACCUUUCGUAAUUUGGCAUAUUGGUCGCAACCACCUAUGUUUAAAGGUCGUUCUUGACAUAUAGGUAAAUACUUUGUUCGUCAACAAGACUCCAACCAUGAGUGUCGAUAAGACUAAAAGGUUUCUAGUAGAGCCUAGAUAGGCCGAGGAACAUUACUUAUAUAGCCUAGAGAGACAGAAGAAUAAUACUCAAACAACCUGAGUAACGAAUAAUGAGGUAGACUAGAGAGGCAACAACAAUACUUAACUCAAGAAACAUGUUGCUAAAUCUUAAGAAAUCUAGAAUUUGUCAUUUUGGUUUUUUGCUGAGUUAUUAUUAGGCUUAAUUGCAGUUUUGGUCCCCUAUGUUUCAAGAAGUUGCGAUUUUGAUCCCCUAACUAAAUAAAGUACAAAACCGCCCCCUAAGUAUUGACUUUUUUGCAGUUUUGGCCCCCAUGCCAAUUUUGACCAAGUCAAAGCUGACGUGGACGCCACAUAUGUAUUUAUUUAUUUUUUAAUUAAUAAAAAAUAAAAAAAAUAUAUAAUUUUUUAUUUUUUAAUUAAAAUAUAUAUAAAAAAAUAUUUUUUUUAAUUAAAAAAAUAUUUAAAAAAUAAAUAAAUACACAAGUGGCGUUCAAGUGUGCAUUGGCUUUGUCAAAAUUCGUCUGGGGGGCCAAAACUGCAAAAAAGUCAAUACUUAAGAGGCGGUUUUGUAGUUUAUUUAGUUAAGGGGCCAAAAUCGCAACUUCUUAAAAUAUAGGGGGCCAAAACGCCAAUUAAGCCUUAUUAUUAGAGAGAGUCUAAUGAGGCUUUGAUAAACAAUACUAAACACUUGAAGAAGUGCUAAUUAAAAUAGUUACUUAAUUAGUUGAUUAGAAUAGAUUAAGUCUUUCGAGUGAAUAAGGAAAAACUCUAUUUUAUCUUCAAAUGCUUAUAUUAGAAGCAAAAAGCAAAGAAAAAGGAUGGACAAUCCAAAGAAAAAGGAUUAAGUUCUCUUAAAAGUGUACCUUCAUAUAAGCUUUUGAACCAUGAUAAUUUCUUUAAAGAUGCUAUGAAUCUACGUGUAUUUACAUCCAGACCCGUUCUUACCCUCAAUUUUUAAGUAGUGGAACAAGAAAACUUGAACAAAUUUAUAUUUUGCAAUUUGUUAUAUGUGUGUUGUGAUUAAAUUACUUAAGAUCUAUUUAUAAGCCACACACACUACCAUCAAAUAGGAAGUGUUGACUCAUCUUAAUGAUCUUUUACUUUCAUAUGGUUAAUUAUAAUGAAAAGCAAUUAACACAUGUUAAUAACAUGCUAAUUCAUCUAAAAAAACCAUUUUCUAUUAAGAAUUUAAGAAGAUCAUUAUAUUGACCAAUAUGCUUUCACAUAAUUAUAUAGUUAUGUAUGUAAUAUCAAACAAUUGAUAUAAUAAUUGCUAUUUUCUUGGUCGCUAUCUUCAUCACCACAUUACAAGGCUGAUUAUCCUUUAAUCUUUGGUAGUCUUUGGUGGAGUUAGGCGAAGCUCUUUUACAAGAAGAUUAGAUGCAACAAUAGUUGGUUGUCGACUAGUAUAAAAAUAGUUGUUUCUUUCUCUUUCUCUGCUAAUAUAUCUUUUACUAUUUAGCUUAAAGCUUUUCAAAAUAACAUGUUAAUUUAAUCAAACAAGGAGGGACGAUAUAUAAAACAGAGAUAAAUGUAGUAUAUAUUUGUAUAUAGAAUUGUGAAUACACCCAUAAUAGAAUCAUUUUUAAUUAUUUGACUAAUAGAUGAAAGAAAAUCAUUCAAACAAAAACAAACAAAUAAAAGGAAAUUUUUUCAAAAAAGGGAGUAGGUUUCAAAUAAAUUCCACGGUUACAUGAUAUAAUAAUUUUCAUAAUACAAACAAAAAAAUAUCCUAAAAAGAUAUGAUAUCAAUUUCAGAGAAAAAAAUGGAAGAUAUGGCAAAAUUGGUGAACUCUACGGACUUAAUUCGAUUGAACCUUGAUAUAGAAUUUUAACAAUUAAUCAUUGUUUUAAACGAAGUUUUCUAAUCUAUCAACACAUUUAAAACCUCGUUUUCUUGUGUUUCCCAACACCUUGAAUAUCAAUUUCCUCAUUCUCUUCCAUUUAAAACCUCGUGAUCUACUUCGCUAAAACUAUCAUUUCCCUUAUUUGCAUUGACUGUUAUUCCACGUUGUGAGGUAGGGAGAGAUAAAUGAAAACCAUUCGAUUACAAAUUGUGCUUACAAUGGUAAACGACUGUAAAAAAACAAAAAGAUAAACAAAACAAAUAACCCUUGAAUUUGAAAUACAUUGACGUGCAAAAAAAACUAUUUCAUGUUAACAUGUUUUAUUUGGCACAUCUAUUUAAAACUUUAAGGACGUGUUUGGAUUGAGGGUUUAGAAGGGGAAUGGAGGGGAGAGUUUAAUUUUCUUGUUUAAACUACGUACUAUAUAACAUGUUUUUCUAAAAUAAAUCAAGUGUCAUUGAAGUUUUAUAUCAUUGUUUAUCAUGCUAAUAUGUUAACUUUCUAAAAGACAUUUUAUAGUAUCCGUAAUUUAAAAAUGAAAAGUGAACUCUCUCCUCCCUUCCCCUCCUAAACCCUCCAUCCAAACACGUAAUUUCAAUAUAGUAAAUUGGUGUUCAACUUCGUUAGAUACUUUACCAUUUAUUUUCUUAUUCAAGUAAUUUGAACAUCAAGUGGUAGUCACUUUUAUUAAUUAAUUGAAAUUCCUCCUUCAAUUUCAAUUUUGAUUAAAAAAAAGUUUAUACAUACUCUCAUGGCAUUUUGCUUAUGCUUAAUAUAUGAAAUUAAUUCAGCCAGUUUAACAACAUUUUACUACAUAAAACCGUGGAACUUGUUAUCCAUUUAAGGUUGAUAAUUAAGGGAUACAAACUAGGCAUAAGACAUGCUUUAUUUUAUAUUUUUAUUACAUCAUUUACUGCAUGGCAUGCAUAUGUGUCAUGGUUUUCAUGGACUUCCCCCAUGUCCUCCAUGUUUGCCUCCGCCGUGUCCUCCUCCUCCCCAGCCUCCACCACCACCACGUCCUCCUCCUCCACCAUAUCCUCCACCACCGCGUCCUCCUCCUCCUCCCUCUCCCCCUCCCGAACCUCCACCAAAUCCUCCACCACCGCGUCCUCCUCCUCCCCAACCUCCACCACCACCUCGUCCUCCUCCUCCUCCCCAACCUCCACCACCUUGUAAUCCUCUUCCUCGAUCAUCUACCUCAAUUUUUGUUGGUGAUUCUUCUGUUCCACCAGCUGCACAUACACAAUCACUUUUAAGGUAUUCCUAAUAUUGAUAUUUUUCUUAGAAAGUUUAAGUAGAUAUUUUACGAUAUAUAUACAAUGGCAAGUUCAUAAAUUUUUCAAAUAUAUGAACAAUGAUAAUUAAACACUCUUAAAUCCUCAAGAUCAACUGGACACCUCAUUUCAUCUCUGUUUUUUUCCUUCUUAUUAUCACAUCACAUACUCUAAUUCUCAAAUUUAUUUUCUCUUAGUGUGUUUAAAGAGUGUAUAUAUUAGUGUUGACAUUUUCCCUUUUCAUAAUCUGAAAAAAAAAAUAAUUAUAACAUAUGCAUAAAAAAGAUCUUUUAUAGCAAUUUUACAUUCAUUUUCUUUAAAAUAUGUAUGUAAAAACUAUUGUUUUUCUAUAAAUAAGGAGUUCAAUGUCAUGUGCUCAAACCCAGACAAAUGAGGAAAUAUUAAUCUAACAACUAAUUAUAUCUUUCAAUUUUUUUUAAUGAGAAAUUUAUAGUAGUAGUAAGUGUAUCUAAAACAUGUACCUUGUUUUCCAUCUUUGGACGGUUCCGUUGCUGCUGAAGCGAUAAGAAGUAAUGCGCAGAGGAAGCACAAGAAGAUAACGGGCUUGAUAUUCAUCUUUGCUACUUAGGUUAUACUAUUAAUUGGUGUGUAGUAUGAAAAACACUGUUUGUUGUAGACAUGCUAUUUAUAGUGCUAAAAUAAAGGGAAAAGACAAAUGAAAAAAGUAAAAAAAAAAGAAAAAAGAAAAAGGAAUUUGGUUAUUUAAUUCGUUUGGUUGAUUCUGAGAAAAAUGGAAUGUGAAAAAUGUAUCCUCAUCAUCACCGAUUUAGUAAUUGAAGGCUUUGAAUGAGACACGAUUUAGCAAUUAGGGAAAACAUAGUUCUUAGUCUUCUUGACAUCGGUGUGGUCAGGCGGUUUGUUCCCUUGAGUCCAUCAAAAACAGUGAUACAAGUGUACGUGGAUGAAGAAAAGCUCAUGUUUGAAAGGAAGCAUAACCAAUUGAAUUGAAUGACUCCUACUUGAGAAGCCGGUUAUUGCGGCAAAUAUGAGGUGGGUUAGAAAUCCCACAUAGUUUAAAAAUUCUUAAAUCUAAUAUCUUAAUCUUUUGAAUUAAGAUGUGGUGUUCAAUUCAUUUCUUUAUGUUAUUCUUGAUCCAAUAUCCUUUCAUGAUCCAAUAAUGAUGUAAAAGUUUGGUUCGACAUAAGGUUAAACUAAUCAUUAUGUCGAAAGUCUUUCUUAAAAUAUGGUCAAGUGAUGUAUAGCGGGUGUCAACAAUAGUGGAAGUAUUUUUAGAUGAAAAAGCUUUCGUUUUAAGUUAAAUGUGAUGUUCAACUCACUUGUAUGAUUUUCUUAAUCUAAUGCAGAUGAUCCCCGAUACCUCCCUUAUGACCCAACAAAUUAUUCUCUACCAAAUCCAUUUAUAGGGUGCUACCUAUCAAUAAUUGACAUUUUUUUUGUGUUAAAUAGCCUAAUGGUUAGUAAUUCAUUUUUUAAAAUGAAUAAGUGAACGUUUACCUAUACAUAUAGGUGGCAACUAGACUAUCCAUGAAAGAAUGAUGGCUAAUUUACCUCAACCAAUACACAUUAGCCACAUAAGCACAUAUUCAUGAACUAUCUUGACCCCACAAAUAAAUUGUUCAUUUUCAUUGGUUGGUGGGUAAAUUACCCACCAUUCUUCAAAGGUAAUUUAGAAAAAACCAUACAUAUAUUAUAAAAUGUCUUUACCAACCGCUCACGAGCACCAAUACAAUUUACAUUUAAUAUAAUAUUUUAUGAUUAGAUAUUAACUUUGCAACAAUUAGUCCUUUAAAAAAUUUACAACAAUGAUAUAUUUAUACAAUUAACAUUCUCCAACAUGCAUUCAGCAAAUCAUUUUAUCGUUAUCUCUUUCGUAUCAUCACAACGUUGAUUAUCAAUUCUACCACACUCAUUUUAUCUCUUUCUCGCAAGAUGUAUACACUAUAUAGAGUAUCCACCAAUUAUUUUCCUAAACUUCAUUUAUUCGCAUAUAAAUUCAAACUUCUUGCAUACACCUCCCAAUUUAAUCUUGUCGGUCUCAUUUUCCUACCACACCUUGAACCUGUUCCAUAACUUACGCCAAGAUUUCAUGAAAGUUUCCUUCAAGCAAAAAAAUAAAUAAUCCAAAGCUGAUAUAAACUAACUCAAUGAACCCAAGAAUAUUUUUGUUUUUUUUUUUAUAAGCAAAACUAGUUACAAACCCGUGCUUCGCACGGGUUGAAUAACGUAUCUUGUAAAAAAAUUAUUCGAAAAGAAAUAUUUACCAAAAUAUUUAUGAAAGCUUUACCAAGUCUUGAUUCAUGAAAAUAGGAUAUACUUUGUUCCUGAAAUCAGGAAAACAUGAUCAUAAUUAAGUUGAAACUAAUUGAAACCAAUGUAGGGUAAAGGACAUAGAAAUAAAUUUGAACUUCAUCGAGUUUCUUUCUAUUUUAUAAACAGUUUCACUUAUCACCUAUAGAAGUUGAGAUUUGAUUGUUGGUAAUGUUUUUUGUAUAAUUAACCUAAACUUUCUUACAAUAUUAUUAGUGCAAUUUAUCUCUGUAUAAACUUCCUAACUCAACUCCUCUGGAAGCUCUAUGAACAUGUAAGUCAAACAUUUAUUCAGAAGAAAUUUUUUUUUUUGAUUAGUAUCAGACGGCCAAAGGACUAAAGUUUAAAAUAGUAAUUUUACCACCAUGACAAUGAUAAUUUUUUCAAUCAAAGAAGGGUACCACCAUUCCUAUUCCUCAACUAUACCAUCAAUUGUACCACAAAAUAUAAGCGUAUCACUCACCCUAACUUCCUUUAGUUAUGCAAUAGACUUCUUUGGAUGGAGAUGCAAGAAAUCUUCAUCUAUCGAUGGUUUACCCCUCGGACCAAUAAUCGGCACAGUGGGCUACUUCCGAUUGAAUUAACAUCCAAACUGAUACAAUAUGCAAACAUUGAGGCGUAAACAAACGCAACACAUACAUAUUUAAUUAAUGUUAUCAGAAUCUGAACAUAUAUUAAAAACCACGACAAUCCAAAUAAAAUAACUAACCCUUUCUUAAAUUCAGCAGCCUCUGAUAUAUCCGGAUUGAUCAUAAUUCGGGUAGUAUUCACUACAUUUUGCGGGGAUCCAUUCUCUACAAAAAUUCAACCAAUGACAAAACUUAUAAGAAUAUAAUAUUCAUACAUUAAAAUUUCAAAAUGUUUAGAAGAAAUAGACCAAAAACACACCACUGAAAAUCUUCACUUUUGUGAACUGCAUAUCCAGCAUAUGCAAACCUUCAUCAACUUUGGCCAUGAGUUGUUUCAAGUGAUCCACAUAAUAUCCAAACAGAGCAAUCUCACAUUUUCCACUUGUGACAAAAAUCAAACAGAAGUUUAAACGAUGGUCCCUUCUAUAAACAAAACGAAGAUAAAUCUUAACAUGCCUCAUAAAAUAAGAUAUCAACAUGUGAUCAGUUAGCUAAAGCAAAAUCAUCUUGGUGAUCUUCCCAUCCUUAAUAUACUCCCUUACCUCCGAUAUUACAGUCAUUAAGCCAAUGCCAUCUAAACAACAAAAACGAUUAAGAAAAGAAAGAGGUAAUCAUAACAAAAAAGGAACAAUAACAAAGGGAAGCAUAAGGAAAAUAAGCAAAUUUGGAAGAUAUGUAGAUAACUCUAUGAAAACAACAAACCAAUCAAAUAAUCGUUGUCCACGGUUUGAUGGUUAACCUCAACUAUAUUAGUCAAAGUUAAUCCAAACAUGGGAAGCAAGGGACCGUCAACAACACUCACUUUGGUCCUCAUAUGGUAAAACAACUUAUAAGUAUGGGUAGUUGUCCUGUACAAACCACUGCUUGGAGCAACUGAAUUCUAAUCUUAUAAACGCAUAAUUGCUUGAAUUCUAAUCUUCCGAUUUUGCCAAAGACAUGUCCUGAAAAUGCCCUCGACGACAAUGUAGCACCUUUUUAUUCUACUCUGUAAGGGGCUAACACAAAGCAUUAUAAAACUUUGAUGCAUAAAAAGUGUCUCUUUCACUCUGAUCAAGAAAAACUGGUGCAACUAUAUAGUAAACAUUUUAAAUUUUUUAUUAAAAUUAGGUGUCAUUGCAUGAAAGUUAUAUUAUGUAGUUCGUAACACCAUUGUUUCUACAAAUGUGUUUUCAUGGAAUGCUAUUAACAUUUUUGUCUUUAAAUGUAUGCAACAUGUUUUAGCAAUUUUUUACAGAGAUGUUAAUUUUCAUUUGUUUCAACAAUGUUGAUGCAUUUUUUCUAAGAAUAUUGGUUAAGAUCAUAGACGAAUCAAUUGGGUGACAUAAUGCACUGAUAAAGCUAAUAUUUUCCGUCUUAUGCAACCAAUUAUAAAUAAGAGUUUAACCGUUCUUGUUCAUUGGUGACUAUAUUCAACCAAUUAUUUUUUUUAAAAGAGGCAGAAAUAGAAAUAGAAAUCAUAAAUUAUGAUCAAUCUUAUGUGUUUCACAUACUAAAAAACUUUAAAAUUAAAAAAAAAAAUAUUGUUCAACUUACAUACAUGAUUUCUUUAUCAGAUUAGAUUUUGGAAACAACCAUUAUUUUCUAGUUAGAGAUUCUGACUAACAUCUGAGAAUCUAAUUAUAUAUGAAAGUCAAAUAACUUUGCAAGAGUCUAUGACAUGUUUUCAAAAAAGCAGACAAAGAAAAGGUCAAUCACUCCUUCAUGAUGUGUUUGGCCAACUUAGUGGAAGACAAUUGCGUUGGAUUAUAGGCAUCAGAUGCAAUGUCAUCUUGGUAUUUUUAAGUGGACGAACGCUUUGCAUGAGUGAAAUUCCAAAUCAUUUUCACCACAAGCAGAGAAGGAAAGUUGUCACAAUAAGGAUAAAAUUUUCAUAGUUAAAAUGAAUAUAAUAUUAAUAAUUACAAUAACAAAUCACAGAGAAAUUCAAUGUGUUUAAUUAUUAUACCGUGGGAAUGUUAAGAGAAUCUGAGCACUUAGAAGAAGCAUUAUUCUUCUCAAGAAUGAAUGUCUAGGUUGGAUUAUCAUAGAUAACAUUCUACAAUAAUAAAAUGAAAAUCAAAUAUAAGUGACAGAAAAAGAAACAGUCAAAUCAAUUAUUAAAAAAAGAACACGACAGACACAAAGAACCUCAUCAAGUUGUUGCUCCUCUGGCUGAAGAUGAGACUUAAUUUUUUUUUAUGACAACAGGAUCACGGGAAACAACUCAAACGAAUGAUUGAUGAUAUUAUGGCUGAUGGUUGACACGUAACACAAACUCAAGGCCGAGUAGUUUAUAUAGAUGUUUUUGGUAUAUUUUAGAAUCAUCCUCAUCGACCUUCAUAAAUAAAUACAAUUACAUAAGUUAUAAUAUCUAUCAAUCAUGCGGAAAAUAAGAUGAAAAUUAAAUUAGGGAUAUGUCGCGUCAUUUUUCGGACGUCAAGGCUAUUUGAUUAGCUUUUGACUCACUAAUUUAUUUCACGACUGAACAUUUAAUUUUUAAGAAAAAGGGGAAAAAAGUUCAAAAAACACCCCAUAUUGAAAAGAUUUAGGGUUCGGGGGUUAGUUACACAAAGGGAAGGUGUUAGCACCCUUUAUGUCCAUAGUACUCUACGGGAACCUCUUGAUUUUAUUUAAUUCAAUGUGCUAUAACUUGCUUGCUUUUGAAAAGAAAGAAUUAAAGUGAAAAAGAUAAAGACCUAAAUAUCUACAUCAUUUUUUAUUGUUUGGGAGGACGAGUGUCCUCUGCCUACGUACCCGUGAAGGAUCAAAACCUCGUAGUUCGGGGUAGAAAACAACGUUUGAUUGGUUUUGUGUUUUUUAUUAGUUUUGAAAAAAGGUUUUAAAAGGAAAAGCCAAGUGGCGAAAUAAGAAUUGGUUUGUAUUUUUUUAAAAGAAAAUGACUUAAAGUAGAUUUAAAGUUGAUUGCAAUUUUGAUUUAUGAAAGAAAUAAAAUAAAGACGAUCACUUGAUUUGGAUCAAGGUUUGUUUAUGAAAAUGUUUUUGUGAUUUUUGGUUAUUUGCAUGUUUUUUGUGAUUUUUGAAUAAAUAUAUAAACUAACGGAGCAUAAAGAAUAAAAGCGCGGCUACCCUAAGUUAGAAAUAUAAAAUCUAUGACUAUUACAUAAAAGCCUAUUUACAUUCUAAGAUCUGCAAUAAGAAUUAAAAUGCUAAGAAAAAUAAAUAAAUGCGGAAAGGAAUAAGGAAAAAAAUAAAAAAGGUCCAAACACAAGGUGGGGUGCAGUAGCAAACAGGGGUGUGCAGAAAGCAGAAAAAAAAGAAUUGGGCUUAAGGAAACGAACCGGGUCGUGGGUCGCGGGUCAUGGGUUGACCCGUUUGGGGGGUAUAUAAGGGCUGUUGGGCCCUUUUUCUUUCAUUUUUCCUUUUCUUUCUCUCUCUUCCUCACCGGUCUCUCUCUUCUUCUCUGUUCUCUCUCUAGCUCUCUUCUUCUCCGGCGAAGGGGAUGGGGGUUCCGGCGGUGGUUGGCCGGCCAGUGCGGCGGCGCCACCGCGCCGGAACCCUAACAGCUUUAUUUUUUUUAAUUUUUUUUGCUCUUUCUCUUCUACUUCUCUCCCUCUGUUCACUUCUAACCCUCAAAUUCCCAAAACCGUUACCUAAACGUCUAGAUCUAAAAAAGAAAGAAAUUUAUACCUUUUUGUUUUUUGUGGUUCCGGUUUUGUUAUGGUGUUGGUUCGCGAUUUCCUUUUGUGUGUGCGUUGCCGUGUUCUGUGUUCACGUUGAGUUGUGUGCGUGCGUGCUUGUGUUGCGGUUCUGCCGUUGUUGUUGUUGCGGUUCUGCCGUGUUGUGAUGCCGCGUGUGGGUGUUUGUGCGAUGCCGUUGUUGUUGUUGCGGUUCUGCCGUUGUUGUUGUUGCGGUUCUGCCGUUGUUGUGAUGCCGCGUGUGGGGCUUCUCUUGUUCCCGUAUUCUGUUGUGUGUGGCUUCUCUGUUUUUCUUGUUCUGCUGCGUUUUUGUUGUGUUUUUCUUUGUUGUGCAGGUCUCUAUUUAUAGAGUGAGUUUGAGGCUAGAAUUUGUUACUGAUGAGCACAAAAUCAGUGGCUUGUGGAGGAGAAAAAAGGAAAUGCGUCUGUUUUUUUACUGGAUUUGUUUCAGAUGAGGCAUGAACUGGAUUUUGGAUUGGGAUGGAAAAGGAACAGAACGUGUAUAAGGAUUGAGAUGAACUCGGACUAUUUUUGGACUUAUUUUGGACAAUUUUGGGAUUUUAAUUAAAAGGAAAAAAAAUUAAAUAAAAAUAAAAGGAUAAUGUUUAAAAAAGAAAAAUGAAUAAAAGAAAUUUAAUCUAAUCUUGGACUAAAAUUAAAAUUAGAGUUCUAAAUUAAAAGAUGGAAAUAAAUAAUUAAAGACUGAGAGAAGAGGGCCCGAUUCGGAAUUUUUAUGAGGUAUUUCAAAAUACCUCCCUGCCGAAUUUUUCACUGAAAUGCGAGUCUGGUCCGAGUUCGGAGACGUGUGUUAGUGGGACCUUAGGUCAAAAUUUGGGGUAUGACAGAUGCCCCUAUUUAAGUUUCUUCGCUCAGAGAUUCGAAGGUAAAAUCUUUGACUCGACGAGCCGAAGAGACUUAAAUACGAAAGUGCACCAAUUUUGACCUAAGAGGUUUAUGAAUGCUCAUGAUUUAAUUAUGAAUGCAUGAUGACAGUGACGGCUCGACUGGAAUGGAAAGACACUAGGAUACCCAAAUUCUUCGAAGAAAGGGAUCCGACUUUACUGGGGAAUCUGGUUUCACUGGGGAAGAUGGUUGUUCCUCAUUGUCUCGACAUCUCGAAACAAAGUGCAAAGGUUCAGACUUCAAUGUCCAUUUGUGGACUUGGUUUUGAAAAAUGAAAUAAUAGAAGGAUGCAAGCUAUUUGUUGGUUGAAAUUGGCCACUUGUUACAGGCUGUUCGUUGGUUGGAACUGGUCGCUGAACAUAAAGAUAAAAGAUUGACAUGAGUUGUUCGUUUGUUGGAACUAGUUGCUCGGAAGGUAAGAAACAUUGGCAUAGGCUAUUCGUUUGUUGGAAUCGGUCGCUUGAAACACAAGUUGUUCGUUGGUUGGAACUGGUUACUUAAAAUAAAGACACAAGCUGUUCGUUGGUUGGAACUUGGUUGCUUGAAAAGUUUGGAUAGGUGACAUCUCUAGAACAGCUAUGCUGGGGAUGAUACCUGGAGUUUGAAGUUGACAUCGAGAUCAACUAGCGCCAUGACUAGUACGGCCUUCUGCCGGGGAUGUCACUUCGAAACUAAAAUUGAAAUUGACAUUGAUUAGUGACAUAACUAGCACGGCUUUACGCCGGGGAUGACACUUUUGAAUUUGAAAUUGAGAUUGACAUUCAUUCGUAGAAACUUGCGGCUUGACACAAUGGUAAGCUUUGACUGAUGCAAUUAUGUGUGAAUUGAUGUUAUGCAUAUGUCGUGUACGCGUAAACGUAUGAUUAUGUGAAAAUAUUGAUGAAUGCAUGAUUGUAUGAAUGUAUGGAUAUAUGAAUGUACAUGACACGUGAAUCGAUGAACUGAGACAAGACAGGUAAGAUGGGAGUCGGACCGACAUUGCAUUACAAACAUUCGGCAACCUUCCUUGGAGAUGAUAUUAUUGUGAGCAAAUCGAGCCGUUGAUGGUGUAAGAACCUGGCACUGGGUAGCCACCGAUGCCUCCUGGGGGGUGAGCCCAUUGUCGAUGAAAGAAGUCUGGAAGAAGUCGCCAUUUGUAAACCGGCACAGAGUGUCCUUCCAUUGGUAUGUUUCAGCAGUCAUGCCUUUUGUUUUAUUGAAAAAUCCCUAAUUUUUGCCUGGACCGCCCUUUCGGGUUUUCAGUCCACCGGGAAUAUUUUUUUGUUUUGCCCCUAAUUUUUGCCUGGACCGCCCUUUCGGGUUUUCAGUCCACCGGGACGCUCUCUGUUGCCUAAGUUGCCUUUUCAGGUUUUCAACUUAGCGAGCUUUUUGUAUUUUGUUUAUUCAGAGAUUUUCCUUAGUGUCGAGCCACGCUUUCAGCAGGAUCUAACCUCUCUUGAGUUGGUAUAUGCCUCUUUUACUCCUGAGUGCCAAGCUGUAUCUAUUUUGUUUAUGCUUUUUAUUAUAUAAUGUUUUAGAAAUCUGUUUCAAAAUAUUAUCAUCAAUAAAAGAGGAAAAAUUCAUGAAACAAAACAAAUGGGAAUCAAAAGAGAGGUAAAGGCUCAAAGUUUAUUGAUCGAAUGACGCUAUGCCAAUGGCAUGACUUCAUGGAGUUCUUUACAAAGUUUGAAAAGUAAUGGUAAUUUAAAAGGGAAAGGUACGUUGAACUUCAUAACCCUAUCCUUCUCUAACAACUUUGAAAUCCCGUUAUCUUGCGGCUCGAAUACUUUUGAUAUCAUGUAUGCCCCAAGUGUAUCUGUAUUCGACUGGAUGCAGUUACUUUGUCUUUUUUUUUUUUUUUUUUUUUUUUUUUUUUUUUUUUUUUUUUUUUGCAUAGACUGCCCUUUCGGGUUUUCACUCUAUCAGGAUAAUGAUCUCUGUUUAUUGUCUCUAAUUUUUUCCUGGACCGCCCUUUCGGGUUUUCAGUCCACCGAGACGCUCAUUUUUGCCUAAGUCGCCCUUUUCGGGUUUUCGACUUACCGAGCUGUUCUUUAAAAAAUUUUUAGACAAAGUAUUUCUUGACUGCAUCUAUGUUCACAGGUCGUGGAAGUUCUUCACCGUCCAUGGUUUGUAAAGUCAUGGCACCACCUGAGAAGGCUCUUUUAACAACAUACGGUCCUUCGUAAUUAGGAGCCCACUUGCCUCGGGAGUCUGGUUGGAAAGAGAAAAUCUUUUUGAGCACAAGAUCACCUUCUUUGAACUCACGGGGACGAACUUUCUUGUCAAAAGCCUGUUUCAUCCUUUUUUGAUAUAACUGUCCGUGACAUAGGGCUGUCAUGCGCUUUUCUUCGAUUAGAUUCAACUGGUCGUAUCUAUUCUGAACCCAUUCAGCUUCUGAUAAGUCAGCCUCCAUUAGGACUCUCAAUGAUGGAAUUUCGACUUCUACAGGAAGUACUGCCUCCAUGCCAUAUACCAGGGAGAAAGGGGUUGCCCCUGUUGACGUGCGUACGGAAGUACGAUAUCCAUGUAAUGCAAAGGGAAGCAUUUCAUGCCAAUCUUUAUAAGUCACCACCAUCUUCUGGACAAUCCUCUUUAUAUUCUUAUUUGCAGCUUCGACGGCACCAUUCAUUUGAGGUCUGUAAGGUGAAGAGUUAUGGUGCUCGAUUUUGAAAUCAUCACAUAGUUCUUUCAUCAUCUUGUUGUUUAGAUUUGUUCCGUUGUCGGUGAUGAUCCGGUUGGGGAUGCCAUAGCGAUAAAUGAUAUGAUUCUUGAUAAAUUUGACCACUACUUGCUUGGUCACAUUGGCAUAUGAUGCGGCCUCAACCCACUUAGUGAAGUAGUCAAUAGCCACUAAGAUGAAACGGUGUCCAUUAGAAGCUUUGGGCUCAAUCCUUCCGAUCAUGUCAAUGCCCCACAUAGAGAAAGGCCACGGAGAGGAAAGUAAAUUGAGUGUAGUCGGCGGCAUAUGAAUCUUGUCGGCGUAUAUCUGACACUUGUGACACUUUCUGGUAUGCUUGUAGCAAUCUGAUUCCAUUGUCAUCCAGUAGUAGCCUGCUCGCAAUAUCUUUUUAGCCAUUGUGUGCCCAUUAGGAUGAAUUCCGAAGGAUCCUUCGUGUAUUUCAUGUAUCAAUAAAUCAGCUUCAUAUUUGUCUACACAUCUGAGCAAGACCGUGUCAAAGUUUCUUUUGUACAAGAUAUCUCCAUUCAAGAAGAAAUUACUAGAUAAUCUUCUGAGAGUCUUCUUAUCUUUGUUGGAUGCUCCAGGAGGAUACUCUCGAGUUUGUAGAAACACUUUAAUAUCAUGAAACCAAGGUUUAUCGUCGAAAACUGCUUCAGCGGCAAACACAUAAGCGGGUCUAUCAAGGAAUUUGACGCUGAUUAGUGGCACGUCAUUGUGAUGAUUCACCUUGAUCAUUGAAGACAAAGUAGCCAAGGCAUCAGCCAUCUGAUUCUCAUCCCGAGGGAUAUGAUGUAAUUCCACUUUGUUGAAGAAGGUCAAUAAACGUCUUGCAUAGUCUCGAUAAGGUAUUAGUCCUGCGUGAAGAGUUUCCCAUUUUCCUUUGAUCUGGUUGAUUACGAGAGCUGAAUCUCCAUAUAUUUCGAUGUUCUUGAUUCUCAGAUCAAUGGCUUCUUCAAUACCCAUGAUGCAGGCUUCAUAUUCAGCGAUGUUGUUUGUGCAGUCAAACCGGAGUCUUGCUGUGAAAGGGAUGUGAGUACCCUUAGGAGUAAGGAGUACUGCUCCUAUGCCGUUGCCGUAUACAUUGACAGCCCCAUCAAAUAUCAAACCCCACACUGAAUCUGGAUCAGGACCUUCUCCGAAUAGUGGCUCGUCACAAUCUUUCAUCUUUAGAUACAUAAUCUCUUCAUCAGGAAAGUCGAACUUGAUAGGUCGAUAGUCUUCGAGUGGUUGGUGAGCUAAGUGAUCAGCAAGAAUACUGCCUUUAAUUGCCUUCUGGGAACGGUACUCGAUAUCAUAUUCAGAUAGUAGCAUCUGCCACCGUGCAAUCCUUCCUGUCAAAGCGGGCUUCUCAAAUAUGUAUUUGAUUGGAUCCAUUUUAGAUACCAGCCAAGUAGUGUGAUUGAUCAUAUAAUGACGGAGGCGUUUGGCAGCCCAGGCUAGAGCACAACAUGUCUUCUCGAGUAUGGAGUAUCGAGAUUCACAUUCAGUAAACUUUUUGCUUAAAUAAUAAAUGGCGUGUUCUUUUCUUCCGGUUUCAUCUUGUUGUCCGAGCACACAACCCAUGGAAUUUUCUAACACUGUUAGGUACAUGAUCAAAGGUCUUCCUUCAAUUGGAGGGAUGAGAAUCGGUGGUUCUAGCAAGUACUUCUUUAUGUUGUCAAAAGCCUUCUGGCAAUCUUCGGUCCACACAAUACCUUGUUCUUUGCGGAGUAGUUUGAAUAUCGGCCCACAAGUUGCAGUCAUAUGAGAAAUGAACCGGGAGAUGUAAUUUAGUCGUCCAAGAAAACCUCUUACUUCUUUUUCUGUUCUCGGAGCAGGCAUCUCUCUGAUGGCUUUGACUUUGUCGGGAUCUACUUCGAUGCCUUUCUGGCUGACAAUGAAGCCUAGAAGCUUUCCGGAUCUGACACCAAAAGUGCAUUUGUUGGGAUUUAGACGAAGUUUGUACUUCCUCAGGCGCUGGAACAUCUUCUGUAGAUACUUGACAUGGUCUUCUUCAGUAAUCGACUUGACUAUCAUGUCAUCCACAUAGACCUCAAUCUCUUUAUGUAUCAUAUCGUGGAAGAGAGUAGUCAUACCCCUCUGAUAAGUAGCUCCUGCAUUGAUUAAACCGAACGGCAUUACUUUGUAACAGAAAGUGCCCCAAGGUGUAAUAAAUGACGUUUUCUCUCUAUCUUCGGGUGCCAUCUUGAUUUGAUUAUAACCGAAGAAUCCAUCCAUGAAUGAGAAGACUUUAGACUUUGCAGUACUGUCAACCAACACGUCAAUAUGAGGUAAAGGAAAGUCGUCUUUCGGGCUAGCUUUGUUUAAAUCACGGUAGUCAACACACAUUCUGACCUUACCAUCUUUCUUUGGAACAGGCACUAUGUUAGCUAACCAUUGGGGGUAAUUGGAUGUGACGAGGAAACCAGCGUCGAUCUGUUUCUGUACUUCUUCUUUGAUUUUGAGAGCCAUGUCAGGACGUGUUCUUCUCAAUUUUUGUUUGACUGGCGGACACUCAGGCUUUAACGGUAGGUGGUGCACCACAAUAUCAGUGUCUAGACCCGGCAUAUCUCGGUAGGACCAGGCAAACACAUCAACAUAUUCUUUGAGGAGCUCUAUCACUUGCUUUUUAACACUUGUUUCGAGCGAUGCCCCAACCUUGAUUUCUUUCUUGUCUUCUUUGGUGCCCAAGUUAAUCACUUCUAGUUCGUCCCCAUAAGGCUGAAUGGUCUUCCUCUCUUGUUCGAGUAGUCGAGAGAUUUCGUCAGGGAUCUCUUCAUUCUCUUCUUCCUCCGCUUUAUACACAGGGAACUCAAAGUUGGGAGAGAUCAUAGGGUUAUGUUGUUCAACGGGUUCGUCGAUUUCUAAUCUGCACAUGUGAUGGAUGAUUUUUAGAAAGAAGAUACAUGCAGAUUUUUUGAAAAUUCAUGCUGGGUUUUUGUAUUACCACUUUUCAGAAAAGCAUAAAAGAAAAUGAGACAAAACAUCGGGAAAAAAACGACAUUUUUAUUUUAUUGAUGAUAAUUUUCUGAAAUAAAAAGCCCUAGAUAAGUUCACUUUCGCUUGGGGCGGGGCGAAAGGAUUUUUGUUUGUUUUUUUUUUUGAAAGGAAAAGCAUAAACUAGACAAAUGCAUUACUUGGACAAGUGAGCAACAAAAGGAACAUCUACGGCAACCCAAUUGUGGCUGGAUACUCCUGGCGUUAUAAAACCUCGUGGCACACUUUCAGGAUCAUCUUCAAUGAUUGCAUGGAUAAAGCCCGAACUGUGGAAAGUGCCUUUCUUUGCUGUGGACAAACCAGUAGAUGGGAAGAA
rnacentral:lncRNA from 1 species